rnacentral:lncRNA from 1 species
AAUUAUUAGAUUAACUCAAAUGCCCAAAACAAAUAUUUCUCAGCUUCCAAAAAUAUUGGCUUGAAUUUUACCUCUUGCCAAUAAUUUCAGGGAGAAACAGGAACAUUUUCUUGGACUCACUGAAAUGAUUUUAAUGUUGAUCAUUUUUAAAAGGUUUCUAAGGCUUUGAAAAUUCCUCAACUCAAAAUUCACUUGAAUUUAAACAUGAUGACAUGAAGAUCAAGCAAAGACAACAGGGGCUGAGCUAGGGCUGUGACAGGUUUUGUCGCAAUUAUCGUCAUAGAAGUGUCAUAUGUAUGAUAGAAAUUUUUUUCGUUCGGCCCAAAAUGUCACGGAUGUGUCUUUUUUUUGUAGUGCAGUGCGCCACCCCUGACUGGAGUGGGCUUCCACGCUGGGGUCGCCGUCCGCCUCUGCGGCCUGGUCCACCUACGACCCAUGGUUGGCGUAAGCCUACUCCUGAGAUAUCAGUGGUACCAUGCGGUGGUUGUCGUUGACGGGGUCGGCAAGGCUCCUGGGUGGCUCAUCGAAGGCCUCAGCUUCCAUCAUCUCUUCUUCCCAGCCCGGCUCAAGGAACAUGCAGGGGUCAUCCUCUGGCAUGUACUCUGAUCCACCAUGCGUGGCACAGAGGCUUCCUGAGCUGCCUAUUUGGAACCUCCACCGAGGCGCCCUGUGCCCCACGCCGCCGAGCCCGAUGCGCCUCCCUGGUGGAUGUAGGGUGGCGCUCGACUGGGACCAUGAGGAGCAACGCCCACACCUACGCCACCCGAGGGAGGCAAAGGCACGGCCGGAUGUCCGGCACCACCGGUCGUGCUGACUCUAGGAAGCCCUCCUGGUGCACAUGGGAGCACGCGGGGGCAAUGAGGCCCGUCGUGCGACCUGGCCACAACUUGAGAUGUAAGUAGGGACCAAAAAGGCGGCGUACCCCUGGCUGCAGCAUCCAAUAGCUUGGCGAUGUGGUCUAGCAAUGUGUCGCGGCCGCUCUCCGUUAGCCGGCACCGCAGCAGCUCCCGCGCCACCACGAGCGCGGCUCACAUGUUCGCCUAUUCCCGUCAGGUGUGUGGCGCUUUUGCUACUGCAUAGCUUGAGGAUCUUGCGCCGGCCCGCGCACGCCGCAGAGUGAGGGUGGAAGGCAUCGGUCCGCGCCGCCCGCGUCCCGCGGUGUUCGGCUGUGUGCGGGCCGCCUAGAGCACGGAGUGGAGGUCUCCUUGGGCGGACGGUGCCGCCCUGACGGGCCAAGCAGCCCACUAGUCGGCGUUGGUCCUCGGGUCGCUAGACAUCGAGGCCGUGGGGUGUUGGCAGAUCAGCUGGCGGAAGAGAGGCUUCCGCGCACCCCUACCUGGCGCGCCAAAUGACGGAUACGGGUUCCGGCAAAACCCUUGAUGUUUGAACACUGGGGUGCACACGAAGAUCUCUCUCCCCUAGCUUACACUCUAACCUCGAUCUCAAAGCCUAGCUCGCCGAACCCAAGGAAUGACAGACACAAGAGUUUACACUGGUUCGGGCCACCAUUGCGGUGUAAUACCCUACUCCAGUGUGGUGUGGUGGAUUGCCUUGUAGGCUGGGGAUGAACAAGUACAAGGGAGAAUAGCCUCCUGAGGAGAGGUGUUCUAGAGCUCAAUGAGCUUGUGUGUGUGUGGAUGGUCUGGUUCCUCUCCAGAUCUGAUGAGAUGCCUCCUACGGUGCUGGCUAGUCCUAUUUAUAGAGGCCCUGGUCCUUUUCCCAAAUAUUAGGAGGCAAGGGAUCCCACAACGGCCAAUUUGAAGGGGGACAGCUAGUACAAGCUAUCCUGACAAAAGGUGGUCUUCGCCUGCCAAAGGCUCUGGUGGUAACGCCGUCGAGGGCUCCGUGAUGACCUCCGUCCUGCUGUCCUACUAGUCUUGGUCUUGCACCGAUAUAGAAACCUUUGCCUGAUGCAUCGGGACUCCUCGCCUGCGCUUGCCUCUUUAGCACCAAAGAGGAAACUGGCACUCUGCUCCAGCUAGCGCCCGCCUAGCCUUGGUCAUCAAGGCUCAUGUCGCACGCUCCUCGUAAGGUGCCCCUUUCAUAGGUAUCUUCGCUCCUCGGGCGCCAGCCUAGUGAGGCUGCACCGGAGGAGGUCUUGUGUCGUCCGCCCCGCGAGGCUAGGCCCCUCGCGAGGGUCUUGAGUGUUUGCUAAUGAAGAUGGGCCGUACCAGGCCGCUGGUGCAACCACGCCCUAGGCCACAAGCAGGCAAAUCUGGGGACCCCCGUUCCCAGAACGCAAACAGACUAGUACAAGCCAUCCUAACAAAAGGUGGUUGAGGGAGUCCUGGAUUAGGGGGUAUCCGGACAGCCGGACUACAACCAUUGGCCGGACUCUUGGACUAUGAAGAUACAAGAUUGAAGACUUUGUCCCGUGUCCGGAUGGGACUUUCCUUGACGUGGAAGGCAAGCUUGGCAAUACGGAUAUGUAGAUCUCCUCCAUUGUAACUGACUAUGUGUAACCCUAGCCCCCUCCGGUGUCUAUAUAAACCGGAGGGUUUAGUCCGUAGGACAACAUACAAUCAUACCAUAGGCUAGCUUCUAGGGUUUAGCCUCUUCGAUCUCAUGGUAUAUCAACUCUUGUAGUACUCAUAUCAUCAAGAAUAAAUCAAGCAGGACGUAGGGUUUUACCUCCAUCAAGAGGGCCCGAACCUGGGUAAAACAUCGUGUCCCCUGCCUCCUGUUACCAUCCUCCUUAGACGCACAGUUCGGGACCCCCUACCCAAGAUCCACCGGUUUUGACACCGACAUUGGUGCUUUCAUUGAGAGUUCCUAUGUGUCGUCAUCAUCAGGCUUGAUGGCUCCUUCGAUCAUCGUUAGCGAUGAAGUCCAGGGUGAGACUUUUCUCCCUGGACAGAUUUUUGUAUUCGGCGGCUUUGCACUGCCGGCCAAUUCGCUUGGCCAUCUGGAGCAUAUUGACAGCUACGCCCCUGGCCAUCGGGUCAGGUUUGGAAGCUUAGACUACACGACCGAUAUCCGCGGAGACUUGAUCUUCGACAGAUUCGAGCCCCUGCCGAGUGCGGGGCACUGUCACGAUGGGCAUGAUUUAGCUCUCCCGCCGAACAGUGUCCUGGAGGCCGCACCCGCAUCCGCUCCGACCUUUAAUUUGGAGCCAGUUGCGCCGAUCGAGGGCGGGUGGUUAGACCCCGCCACGGAGGCAGCAGCCUCAAUGGAGAUCGAACCGAACACCAACCUUAUCCUUCGCGAGGCCCAUGACUCCACAUUGCCGGACUCUCCUCCGAACUCUGAACCAUCCGCGCCCCUGCCAAUCGAAUCCGAUUGGGCGCCGAUCAUGGAGUUCACUGCCGUGGAUAUUUUUCAGCACUCGCCCUUUGGCGACAUACUGAACUCAUUAAGGUCUCUCUCCUUGUCAGGAGGAUCCUGGCUGAACUAUGUCCGGCAGGAUUGGGAUGCGGAUGACGAAGAAAUUCGCUGCCCACCCACCACCCACUUAGUAGCCAUUGUCGAUGACUUAACAGACAUGCUCGACUUUGACUCCAAAGACAUCGACGGUAUGGACGACGAUGCGGGAGACGAAGAGGAACCACUGCCCACAGGGCACUGGACAGCCACCUCAUCAUACGAUAUAUACAUGGUGGACACACCCAAAGAAGGCAAUGGCGACGAGACAUCAGAGGAUGACCCCUCCAAGAAGCAACCCAAGCGCCAACGUCAGCGGCGCCGCUCUAAGUCCCGCCAAAGCAAAAGUGGUGAUACCGGCACAGGAGAUAAUAACACUCCAGAUAGUGCCGAAGAUGGCAACAAUCCCCUCUAGCAUGAUCUAGGAUAGGAGGAUGGAGAGGCCAGCCCUCCAGAGAGAGCGGCAGAUGGAGAGGCGGAGGAUGAUAAUUACAUGCCCCCCUCCAAAGACGAGGCAAGCCUCGAUGAUGACGAAUUCGUCGUGCCAGAGGAUCCCGUCGAACAAGAGCGCUUCAAUCGCCGGCUUAUAGCCACAGCAAAUAGCCUUAAGAAAAAGCAGCAGCAGGUUACCCAAAAUACAGGUUGCUACUCCGACUGGAGGAAGAAGCGUAUGACGCGGCUGAUCGGUCACCUCGUGGUCGCGAUAGAGAGGCAUUCCAGGCAAAAGCUCAGCCUGCACCCCGACGCCAUUCAAAUAAAAAGGCAUGGGGAAAUACGCCAGACCUGCGAGACGUAUUGGAGGACAAAGCAAAACAUGCAAGAUCGAUCUACGGAUCAUGAGGGCGCGCCACUAUGCGAGACGAUAAACGUCACGCCGGACACAAUAAAAGUAAAUCCGGCCGGGCCUAACACAGCGGGCAAGACUCAUUGGAGCAGCAUCGCAAUAUAGACCAGUACAGAGGUGCCACACACCCCUUAUGCUUCGCAGAUGAAGUAAUGGAUCAUCAAAUCCCAAAGGGUUUCAAACCUGUAAACAUAGAAUCCUACGACGGCACGACUGAUCCUGCGGUAUGGAUCGAGGAUUUCCUCCUGCACAUCCACAUGGCCCGCGGUGAUGACCUACACGCAAUCAAAUACCUCCCACUCAAACUUAAAGGACCAGCUCGGCAUUGGCUCAACAGCUUGCCAACAGAGUCCAUUGGCUGUUGGGAAGAUCUGGAAGCCGCAUUCCUCGACAACUUUCAGGGAACUUAUCAGCGACCACCAGACGCUGAUGACCUGAGCCAUAUAAUUCAGCAGCCAGAGGAAUCGGCCAGGCAAUUCUGGACACGGUUCCUAACAAAGAAAAAUCAAAUCGUUGACUGUCCAGAUGCAGAGUCCCUAGCAGCUUUUAAACACAACAUCCGCGACGAGUGGCUACCCCGGCACCUUGGUCAGGAAAAGCUAAAAUCUAUGGCAGCCCUCACGACACUCAUGACCUGCUUUUUUGCGGGAGAAGACAACUGGCUGGCUCGCAGUAAUAACAUAUCAAAGAACCAUGGUACUUCGGAUACCAAGGACGGAAAUGGCAGGUCACAUCGCAGCAAACAUAAGCACCGCAUUAACAGCGACGAUAUCGAGGAUACGUUAGUCAAUGCCGGAUUCAAAGGCUCUAAACCCGGUUAGUGAAAAAAGCCAUUUAAAAGAAGCACUCCGGGCCCGUCCAGUUUGGACCGCAUACUCGAUCACUCGUGUCAAAUACACGGCACCCCCGACAAGCCAGCCAACCACACCAAUAGGGAUUGUUGGGUAUUCAAGCAGGCCGGCAAGUUAAAUGUCGAAAACAAAGAUAAGGGGCCACAUAGCGAUGAUGAGGAAGAGCCCCGGCAGCCAAACACCGGAGGACAGAAGAGGUUCCCUCCACAAGUGCGGACGGUGAACAUGAUAUACGCAACCCACAUCCCAAAGAGGAAGCGGAAGCGUGCGCUCAGGGACGUAUAUGCGUUGGAGCCAGACGCCCUAAUGUUGAACCCAUGGUCCUCCUGUCCGAUCACCUUCGAUCGCAGGGACCACCCCACUAGUAUCCAUCAUGGCGGAUUCGCCGCACUGGUCCUAGACCCAAUCAUUGACGGAUUUCACCUCACUCAAGUCCUUAUGGAUGGCAGCAGUAGCGUGAACCUACUUUACCAGGACACAGUGUGCAAAAUGGGUAUAGACCCCUCAAGGAUCAAACCCACAAAAACGACCCUUAAAGGCGUCAUACCAGGUGUAGAGGCCCAUUGCACAGGCUCAGUCACACUGGAAGUGGUCUUCGGAUCACCGGAUAACUUCGGAAGCGAAGAGUUAAUCUUCGAUAUAGUCCCGUUCCCCAGUGGUUAUCAUGCACUUCUCGGGCGAACCGCAUUUGCGAGAUUCAAUGCAGUACCGCAUUAUGCAUACCUCAAGUUCAAGAUGCCAGGACCUCAGGGGGUCAUUACAGUUAACGGAAACACAGAGCGCUCUCUCCGAACGGAGGAGCACACUGCGGCCCUCGCAGCGGAAGCGCAAAGCAGCCUCUUAAGGCAAUCCACUAGUUCGGUGUUUAAGGACCCAAACACCUUCAAGCGCGCCCGGAGUAUUCAGCAACAGGACCGCCUGGCAUGUUCCAAGCUCGCAUAGCAAUGCGGCCCCCACCCCGGCCCAAGCCAAACGGCGAAAUUCGUGCCACGCGUACAUAAUUAUGCAUUAAAAAUACCAUGGGCACAAGCGGGGAGGGGGGCAUGACUGCGGCACGCCCCAAGACGCGGCUUAAACCACACUAGGGGCUUCCCGUUUUGUUAUUUUUUUUUUCUUUUUAGGACUUUAAUCUCUGGAAACCCAGUCCGGCAGCAUGAUUGCCGAACAUAUGAUGCAGCAACCAAGAAGGCAGAAAGCUACGUCACACCACAGAACUCCCAGGUGGAUUAUGAUAACGAGUGUAAUACGUGCCUUAAUACUAUUCUUUAGCUCGCCCUUGGAGGGGACAUAGUCCUACUUUUUUCUUAUUGCACUGCAUGUAUCAUUCUUCUUUAACGCACCUUUUUGAAUAAACAAUGCAUAGCAUUAAGACUAUUAUUGCAUUCUUCUUUAUAUAUAUAUAUAUAUAUAUGUUCAUUCAUGACAUCCAGCACCCUUACACUCUGGUACGGCCAAUACGCUAGGGGCUUAAGCAUACCCCACAAUACGGUGUGAGAAGUCUGGACACUUUCAACAGUGCGACACCCCGAACUUAUAGCAUUAUAUGCAUCAGCUCCGAAUCAUGUCUUGGGUCAAUAGUUGGGUUUGCCCGUCUCCCAUGUUUUGGUACCAUACGUUCCGCUAUAUCGACUAAGGUAGCACUGGGAGAACUACUGCGAUUGUGCCCCGGUUCUGCUGGGCUAAGCACCUCAGUAGAGAAAGCUAAAACUGACUGUCAUGAUAAGGCGAGAGACUGGUCGCUGUUCGAGAGGUUUUCGAGUCCUUAAAGACUUAUGACGCUUAGAGCGAGGAGUCGGCCCUGUUCGGCUUAAGGAGUGUAUCGCGCCCCGAGUUCGGCCUUCCGAACACUAGGGGCUUCGCCGAAAUUUAAAAUUAUAGAAUUCUAUGGCUAAGUGAGAGUGAUAACGCAUUAUAGUCCGAUUGCCUUGUUCGUUGUGCUGAGCACCUCCCUCGAAGGACCCAAAAAGAGGAACAAGAGUGCUCAGGUUUAUCCCGAACAUCCCAGCACUUGUGGCAUGGGGGCAGAAGCCGAUGACUAGCCAUCUCUCAAAUUUGAUAAACAGUCGAAGAGAUGGUAAUAUUAUAAAUUCAAACAAGCGUUGCAUAGCGCAUAUGAACAAGUUUUCAUGAAUACAGGAUUACACGAGUGGGUUUACUCAAAUAUUGUAUGUUUGGUACACUCGUCCGCUACGAGACGGGCACCCUUCAGGACACCCUCAUAGUACAUCUCGGGGUGGCGAUGCUCCUUGCCCUCCAGCGGCCCUUCCUUGAUCAGCUUCACGGUGUCUAGCUUGGCCCAUUGCACCUUCACACGGGCGAAAGCCCGACGUGCACCUUCUAUGCAGAGGGACCGCUUGACGACUUCCCGCCGUGGGCAGGCAUCCACAAGCCGCCUCACCAGGCCAAAGUAGCUGUUCGGAAGGGCGUCGCCAGGCCACAGCCGGACUAUAAAGCCCUUCAUGGCCUGUUCGACCGCCUUGUGUAGCUUGACCAGCUGGUUUAGCUGGUCGCUCAUAGGCACCGGGUGUUCGGUCCCAGUAUAUUAGGCCCAGAACAACUUCUCCGUUGAGCUUCCCUCCUCGGCCUGGUAAAACGUUGCGGCAUCCGACACGCUAUGGGGCAAAUCUGUGAAUGCUCCUGGAGAGCUCCGGAUUCGGGUAAGUAACAAGUAAUUUACUUUCGCAUGCUUGCUUUGCAUAUAGAAUGCCUUACCCGCUGCUAUAUUCUUCAUCGCAUCAAUCUCUUGGAGGGCCUUUUGGGCUUCGGCCUUGGCAUUCUUUGCGCUCUCGAAGGCCGCGGCAAGCUCGGACUCUCACGUCUUCAAGUCAAGCUCCAACGCCUCGUGCUUUGUCACGAGAGCGUGGAGCUCUUGCUGCGCCUCGCCCAACCGAGCCUCCUGCCUUUCCCGCUCGGUGCGCUCCUUGGCCGCUUUGUUUUCGGCCUCAGAGAGCGCUUGCUUCAGGGUCGCCACCUCGGCCUUGGCCCCUGGCAAAUUCAUGAUGAUCCUGUCAUUUUGCAAUCGCAUUCCUUUCAUAUAUGUCCAUAGACUACCUACUACUUACCUUUGUUCUCCUCGAGCUGCCUCUUGACAAGGCCGAGCUCUUCCGUGGACCCUUUGAGGUCCUGCUUCAGUGCGGCGACCUCCGCAGUCAGUGCAGCAGAUGCCAGUAGCAAAGCCUGCAUACGCAUAUUGACAUACUUAUAUUAGACUCCUGCGAUAUUGUUUGAUCAUCUAUUCGGCUUUUCUUUGUGAACACCGAACAGAGCAUCAGGGGCUACUGUCUAUGCGGUAAUAUUUUUCCCCAUAUUUCAAAAACUUACCUCAAAGCCUGUUAGAAGGCUGGCACAGGCUUCAGUCAGUCCGUUCUUGGCGGACUGAACCUUCUGGACCACCGCACUCAUAAUAGUGCGGUGCUCCUUGUCGAUGGAAGCACUGCGAAGCGCUCCCAGUAGAUUGUCCGGUGCCUCUGGAUGGACAGAGGUCACCGGCACAGGCGUCUUGGCCCUCUUGGAAGGAGGCCGCCUUCUCGAGUCCGGAACCACUAGAGGUUCUGGCGCGGUGUUCGGCUGAGGGCCGAACUCGGAGCCCUCGGGGGCCUUGUUCCCUCUGCUCCCGGAGUCCGGAAGGUCGCCUUGAGGCACCUUCGGGACUGUCUCCCCUCGACCCGGUGCCUCUUGAGACAACACCUCGGUGUUGUCCGUAGGGCAAGGGGAUGUGGUGGUCGGAAGUGGAUCGCUAUCCAUAUCCGAUGAGUCCAGGGAGCCGUCCGACGAGGAUACGUCGAUACAGGCUCGGGGCGGUCUGCAUAAUCACGAUUCGGCGAUAGGAGAAGCAGUGCGACAAAGGAAUGCUAUGAGCUACUCUGGUAUCCGAAUACUUACGACUUUGCCAGGGGCUUGGCCCUGGGCAGCCACUCGUCUUCGCCUUCGGCGGCGGUGGUAGAACUGCCCGGAAGGAGAGUCCUUCCCUUCUUGGACCCUUUGCCCCCCCCCCCCAGUUGGGGCGGCCUUCCUUUUCUUGUCAACCCCGACUAGAGGGGGAGCGUCUCCAUCUUCCUCCUCGUCUUCGUGGGAGGAGUGCGCCGAGGAGUCCUCGGACGAUGAGUCCGAUAUCACCUGGCGCCGGGAACUCUUUCGGGUUCCCUUGGCACUACUAGGAAAAGGGAUAUAGAUGAUAUGGCCACUAAAGGCGCACCAGACAUGUGGUGCGCCAUUAGUGUCCAAAUACUAAUGGCGCACCACAUCCACGGUGCGCCAUUAGUAACAUAAAUUUUUUUCAUUUUUUUUGAAAACUAGUAAUGGCGCACUAGUGGAUAGUGCACCAUUACUAGUUAAACUUGUAAUGGCGCACCACAUCCACGGUGCGCCACUAGUAAAUUAUUUUCAAAAAAAUCAAAUUUUUUUAUUUAUUUUUUCAAAACUAGUAAUGGCACACCAGUGGACAGUGCGCCAUUACUAGUUAAAACUAGUAAUGGCGCACUGUCAACUGGUGCGCCAUUACUAAGUUUUUUUCAAAAAAAAUUCAGAAUUUGUUUUAUUUUUUUCAAAACUAGUAAUGGCGCACCAUGGGUGUGGUGCGCCAUUACUAGUUUAACUAGUAAUGGCGCAUCACUCCCACGGUGCGCCAUUACUAACUUGGCCCAAAACUUCCACCGAAUGCACCCCCCCCCUGUGGACCGCCUUUUCAGUUAAAAAAAUAAAAGAAAAUGAUGGAAAUGUCAAAAAAUAAAAGAAAAUAAGUUUCCCAUGUGAUAUGUGGUCUAGUUGUUGGGAAAAUUUACAAAUAUGAAUUUCGACUUUAUUUGCAAAAUCUCUCUGAAAUUUGUAAAAUGGGCAUAACUUUUGCAUACGAACUCGGAUUAAAAAGUUUUCUAUAUGAAAAAUCAUCUACUCGAAAAUUUACAUCCAAAUUUAACUGGGGGAUACCCCGUUAAACAUUUUCAAAAUCCCCAAAAACCUAACAGAAAAAAAGUUACGGGGCUUUUAAGAUCCGGAGUCAAAAAAUACAAACUUACUAGUGGCGCACCGUAUGCUAGGUGCGCCACUAGUAACAGAAAAAAAUUGGUUUCGAAAUAAAAAAAUUGAAUUAUUUUUCAAAAUAUGAUACGUAAUAUGACCGGGAAGUUUGAAAUAUUUUUUCAAAAUUUCAUCAUACUCAUGAACAUGAACAAAGUCCUAGACAUCAGCAAGGUUUAAUAGGAUUGAUAUGAUAGAUAUAUCAACAAGUGCCUGUAAAGUGAGGUGGUGCUGGGGUUGGAUAGAACUACAAAGUUAAGCGUGCUCGGGCUGGAGUAGUGUGAGGAUGGGAGACCGUCCGAGAAGUUUGACCACAGAAUGCGAUUUGACCCGAGAUUAAGCCAUAGUGACCCGAGAUUAAGAAAAAAAUAAAAAAAAAUUGAAUUUUGUUUUUAAAAAUUUGAAAAAAAAAUUGAAAAUUUUUUAUUACUAAUGGCACACUUCUAUGUGGUGUGCCAUUACUAAGUCAGAUGGUAAUGGCGCACCAGUGGUGCGCUAUUAGUAAAAAAUUCUAGUGGCGUGAUACUAAUGGCGCACCUUCCGGGAAGUUUGACCACCGAGUGCGAUUUGACCUGAGAUUAAGCAUGUUGACCCGAGAUUAAGCUAUAGUGACCCAAGAUUAAGAAAAAAAUAAAAAAAUUGAAUUUUUCUAAAAAAAAUUGAAAAAAAAUUAUUACUAAAGGCGCACUUCUAUGUGGUGCGCCAUUACUAAGUCAGAUAGUAAUGGCGCACCUCUAGGCAUACUAAUGGCGCACUACUGGUGCGCCAUUAGUAUCUGGUAUACUAAUGGCGCACCAGUGGUGCGCCAUUAGUAAAAAAAUCUAGUGGCGUGAUACUAAUGGCGCACCAGUACUGCGCCAUUAGUAGGCAAAACUGGUGCGCCAUUAGUAGGCCUUUUCCUAGUAGUGUGGCCUUCUUGGUAUUCUCCGGCACCUUGUAAGGAGCCAGAGUCAGCAUCUCCAUCAGGAGAGCGUCCGCAGUGCCUUCGGGUAGAGGGGCCGGACAGUUAAUCUGCCCCGACGUCUCCACCCAGUCCUGUCAAAGGUAUGGAGCUCAAACCCCGCACAUGAUUAAGCUAGGGGAAAUAAAUAUCCUACUAGAUGUAUAGAACUCACCGAACGCGCUAGGCGCUUUGCACUUGGCCCGUGGUCCUCAGCGAGAGAGGGAGGGACCUCGAUGCCCUUGAACAGCACCCUCCAGACGUCCUUGUGCGUCGUAUCGAAGAGCUCGCUCAGAGUCUGGUGUUGGGCCGGGUCGAACUCCGACAAGUUAAAAUCCCGUUGUUGACACGGGAGGAUCCGGCGGAUGAGCAUGACCCGGACUAUGUUGACAAGCUUGAGCUUCUUGCUUGCCAUACUCCGGAUACAUUUCUGGAGUCCAUCUAGCUCCACCGAUGAACCCCAUGACAAGCCCUUCUCUUUCCAGGAAGUGAGCCGUGUAGGGAAUCCGGAUCGAAACUCGGGGGCCGCCGCCCAUUUGGUGUCGCGCGGCUCGGUGAUGUAGAACCAGGCCGAUUGCCACCCCUUUAUGGUCUCCACAAAGGAACCCUCAAGCAAUGUGACAUUGGGCAUCUUCCCCACCAUGGCUCCGCCGCAUUCUUCUUGUUGCCGUCCCACCACCUUCGGCUUGAUGUUAAAGGUCUUCAGCCACAGGCCAAAGUGGGGCCGGACGCGGAGGAAAGCCUCACAGACGACGAUGAACACCGAAAUGUUAAGGAUGAAGUUCGGGGCCAGAUCAUGAAAGUCCAGCCCGUAGUAGAACAUGAGACCAUCGACAAAUGGAUGAAGGGGAAACCCCAGUCCACGGAGGAAGUGGUGGAGGAAAACUACCCUCUCGUGAGGAUCAGGGGUAGGAACGAUCUGCCCCGCAGCGGGCAGCCGAUGCGCGAUAUUCGCGGCCAAGUAUCCGGCUCCAUGCAACUUCUUGAUGUGUCGCUCCGCAACGGAGGAAGCCAUCCAUUUGCCUCCCGCUUCGGACAUGAUUGGAGAAGGUUGAGGGGAAGGAUGUGGUCUUGGGUGUUGGAGCUCGAGUGCGCAAGAGUUGAUGAGCGAGGAAGAAGGCAUGGGUAGAAAAAGGUUAAACCUUGUCCCUUUAUAUGGGCGGUCGAAACUAUGCGUCCCCACCAGCCUGGUAAAACUCGCUUAUACCCCAAGCGUCAUAAUCACUGGCACGGUUGGGUUACCCAUGCCUAUAUUGAUGAGAAUCUCGUGAUAAGGGGACACGAUCUCUGCUUUGACAAGACGUGCCAAGGAAACCGCCUCCCAAAACGUGCUGAGGCGGGACAGUAAAAAAUGAUUCGAAUAAAGGCUUGGCUGUGGUGUGAUGUCACGCUACAGAAUACAUCAGCAGAUUAAAUUUGUGGAAAUGUUACUCUCUCCCUCUACGGUGGUAUGUGGAACUUGUUUUGCAGAGCCGGACACGAUCCUCGUGUUCAAAAUCUUCUAUGAAGUAUUUGGAGGAGGAACCCGCCUUGUAAUGCCGAAGACAAUCUGCGCGCCGGACUCAUCGUCAUUAAAGCCUGGUUCAGGGGAUACUGAGGGAGUCCUGGAUUAGGGGGUAUCUGGACAGCCGGACUAUAACCAUUGGCCGGACUCUUGGACUAUGAAGAUACAAGAUUGAAGACUUCGUCCCAUGUCCUAAUAGGACUUUCCUUGACGUGGAAGGCAAGCUUGGCAAUACGGAUAUGUAGAUCUCCUCCCAUUGUAACCGACUCUGUGUAACCCUAGCCCCCUCCGGUGUCUAUAUAAACCGGAGGGUUUAGUCCGUAGGACAACAUACAAUCAUACCAUAGGCUAGCUUCUAGGGUUUAGCCUCUCCGAUCUUGUGGUAGAUCAACUCUUGUAAUACUCAUAUCAUCAAGAAUAAAUCAAGCAGGACGUAGGGUUUUACCUCCAUCAAGAGGGCCCGAACCUGGGUAAAACAUCGUGUCCCCUGCCUCCUGUUACCAUCCACCUUAGACGCACAGUUCGAGAUCUGCCGGUUUUGACACCGAGAAUGGUCUUCCCGUGCCAAAGGCUCUAGUGGUGAUGCUGCUGUGGGCUGCACAAUGACCUUUGUCUUGCCGUUCUGCUGGUCUUGUUCUUGUUGCACCGAUAUGGAAACCUUUGCCUGAUUCCACGAGACCCCGCGCCUGCACUUGCCUCUUGAGCAGCAAAGAGGAAACUGGUACACUGUGCCCGCUGGCGCACGCCUGGCCUUGGUCAUCAUGGCUCACGUCACGUGAACCUUGCAAGGUGCUCCUUGCAUAGAUAUCUCCGCUCCUCAGGAGCCAUCCUAGUGAGGCUUCCCCCAGGGAGGUCUUGGUGUCGUCCGCCUCAUGAGGCCCGGCCCCUCGCGAGGGUCUUGAGUUGUUGUCGUGGAAGAUGGGCCGUACCAAGCCAUUGGUGGAGCCGCGCUCUGGGCCGCAAGCAGGCAAGUCUGGGUACACCCGUUCCCAGGACGUUGAUAGUAGCCCCCAUAGGCAGGCAGGCAAGUCUGGGUACCCCCGUAAUAGGCCGUUGGUGGAGCCUCACUUUGGAUCUUGGGGUGACAGCACAUAUGGUGGUGAAGGAAUUCGUCCGAUGCUGCAUUGCUCCGCUUCAGCAUCAUUCUCGGCCGAUCUGAGCUUUCUCGGGCAGCGGGGACCCCAAGAGGCUUCAUGCGUCUGCUGUUCCUCCCGAGGAGCGGUGUAUAGUGCUCGAGCUCCUGACGGGCGACCCAGCGCCAGCCAAUCUGCUGGAGGAGGGCUGCCUCUUGUACUGCUGCUCGAACAAGGUGGAGUUCAUGAGGCAGAUGCCCCCUUUCGACGAGUGGGGACUGUGCCCGGUCGGCCUUGAAGGGCCCCACGAAAGCCCUGUCUUUGUGUUCCCCCUGCCUGCUAUCACCUCGGCGCUCACCCUAGAAGCUGGUGCUGGGGGGAGCACCGUCGACCGCUAGCAAAGUGGCCGACGAGGAAGCGACGUCGGUCGUGGCCACCGAGGUGGCGGCUCCUAGGGCUCGGGUGAGCUAUGCCGAGGCGGCGGCCAUGGUGCCGGUACGGUCCGAGGCUCCUAGGUUGGAAGCCCCCAAGGCUCAGGCGAGCUGUCCUGAGGCGUAGACUGAGGGGUUGACGCAGCCUGACGCUCCCGAGGUCGUCCCCUCAGGAGCCCCGCCAACUGCCCCAGGCAACGGCGAUCGCGCCCAGGGCUUCGGCCAGCUCCGCCUGAAUUUCGAAGCACUCUGCAAGAGGAAGGUGCUUCCAAGCGGCAAUGUGGCGCUUACCAACCUUGAAAACAGAGGAAAUACAUUGCGAAAGACGAGUAAGUACGUCAUCUGCAUGAUUUCCUGAGUGAUGCGUCCUUUUCUGACCAAGGCUCUUCAGGAUCCCCUCGGCGGGGGCGGGGAGAUCACUUGAGGGGCGCCCUUUGCUGGCCAUUGGCUCGCCAUUGAUCGUAAGCUCUGCUUCCUGGACCGCUGCCGGGGGCCCGCGCCGGAGGCAGACGCGCCAACCUGGGGCCAUGAUCUGGCUUUCCUAGUGUCACUUCUCCACACCCGGCCUGGGGCGUAGCUUGUGCACCAAGGACUCCUUCGUUGGUCAUCGCCGGCGGCUGGGUGUCCCCAGCAACGUCCUCGUCUUCAGGUGGUGAGGCCGCGUCACCUAGCACCUCUGCCAAAGCCUGCAAGGUGGCAGAGAAGGCGCCGGACUCAAGCUCCCUGUCGGAGGCAAGCGGGCUAGCUCGAGCUUCCCCAGCAACCCUUGGCACGGAGGACGGAAUUGGACACGCACUGGACCUCGCGCACGGACAUGGUGUCGCAUGCCACGAGCUCCUCCAGGAGGCGAUGGUCUCACUAUGAGGACCUUGAUCCUAAUUCGCACCGAUCUAGAAUGUAAAACAUCAUAUCACUUUGUGGCCUCGCGCACGGUAUUCGCACAUGUGCCACCUUACCUGGCCCGGGACUGUUCGUGCCUUUUGGGUCACGUAUAUGAUACUGUCGCUAGCAUCCAUAUGACAGAGAACCUAGGACGACAUGACUAGUCGUAAACCAAAAGUGGCACUAACUUACAAGGACAGGCAUACAUGACCCAGCAAUGAACGUGUCGGUCAUCAGCGAGUGAAUCCAGGAUGUACCAGCUGGGCUAACAGAACUCCGAAGAAUCCAGGCUGUAGCAGGCUAACAGGACUCUGGCAGACACCGCGUGACAUUUCCUCGAAGGGACAGACACAAAAACGAAGAAGGACACGUGCCGGCAAGCCUAAGUGUUCCAGAGAAGUAGCAAGCUACCAUGGCUCAGUGGAAGCACUAGGAGACAUUUCCCUGUAAGAGAGGCUACCAAGAAUAAACAACUAGGUUGUCGGAUCCCACACAUACCAAGCAUUUCAUUAAGAUACACACAAUAUGCUCGAUAUGUGCAAAUAUAACAUGGCAUCACAACAAAACUCUAUGACUCAAAGUAUUUAUUCAUUAGGCUCCGAGGAGCCAGAUAUUACAAACAUGGGUACAGAAAACUACAAAUGAAAAAGGCUGAGAAGCCUGACUAUCUAGAAGACCUUGCCGAGGGCACAAGAUCGUAGCUGAGGUAACAAGCUAAACGUUGAGUCCACGCGGAACUACUAGUGAGACUGAAGUCUCUCUGCAAAAACAUAAAUUAAGCAAACCUGAGUACAAAUAUACCCAGCAAGACUUACAUCAGAACUUGCUACAUAUGCAUUAGUAUCAACAAAGGGGGUGGUGGAGUUUAACUACAGCAAGCCAGCUUUAUCUCAGUGGCUAUCCUGAAUUACGUCUGCAAGUAACUCUUUUGGAGUGGCGCACACGAGUCCACAUAUUCACCAAAUCAAUACACCACUAUGGAUCCGCUCCCGUCUCCCUACGAGAACGCCAUCUAGAGCACUCACGCUUAUCGUGCGCAUUGUAGAGUAUCCACUUUCACUUGUCUAUGAACUGCACAACCAACCCAGUAGUCCUUUACCGCGGAUGCGGCUAUUCAAAUAGAUCAUGUUAACCCUGCAGGGCUGUACUUAUUCACACACGCUCCCGCCAGUUACCACCAUGUACACGUCGUGUAUCUCGGCAACCUUCAAGUGGAAGCCUGGCGAGGGAGUCGGCCACGACCUGACUAACCACACAAGUCUCUAGUCUAGGUUUAUUGCCUAUUCGGGUUCCAUCCGCAAGGAGAUCCGGCCGGGGUUUUGCUCACGGCCCCAAAUAAUGAGGGUAGGGUUCCCGAGGCACCAAACGAGCGUCCCGGUACACCGUGCCUCAUGUCUCUACCGCAUUAUAGCCCACCCCAAGGGUCAGCGCUAUGCACGGCCCCCAACACAUAACCUACAAACACUAGAAACUAGUAACAACUCCUGGACAGAGAUCAAGGAAGUUAAUAAGUCGAGAGAGCUUGGAGUGCCCGAAGCCCAAUGUGUGGUAGUAACUGUCUUGGAUCACAGACAUAGAACUCAGUUCCUGAGGACGGCUGCACUGAGACAACCCACCAUGUACUCCUACAUGGCCUCUCAUCGCUACCUUUACCAAAUCGUGUUCACACACUUAGCUCUCAACAGUAGGACAUGUUCAUCAUCAUUCCAAUUCAUCCCCGAUGAAACAGACCCGACUCAACUCUAAGCAGUAGCAGGCAUGACAAACAAGCAUGAAUGAGUAGGCACAUAAGGGCUCAAACAACUCCUACUCAUGCUAGUGGGUUUCAUCUAUUUACUGUGGCAGUGACAGGUCAUGCAAAGGAAAAGGGGUUCAACUACCGCAGCAUGUAACAGUUGAAUCGUUGUUGUCCUAAUGUAGUAAAUGAGAGCAGGAGCGCGAGAGUGGGAUUGUAUCGGAAUGAACAAGGGGGUUUUGCUUGCCAGGCACUUGUGAAGAUAGUAUAGCUCUUCAUCGGUGUCAGUGAUCACAUCGUCGAAACCACGUCUUUUGAGAGGGGACAAAUACCACCAAACAAGAAAGAACACAAUCAAUGCAAUGCAACAAUAUGAUGCAUGAAUGUGACAUGGCAAUAUGUUGUUGAUUGAGCCAAUGCAACUAGCAACAAGUUAAAUGAAAUUGGUUUGAACCCUAGUUUCAAAUUCAAACUCCUUAUGUUAAGGUUUAAAUGCCCUUUAUCUUAUUUGUCCUAGACAACAGCCAUAAGUUGUUAUAACAUGCAUGAAAAUGGUAAAGAUGGAUAGAUUGAAUUUUCUGAUCAUUUUUCAUAUAUAAAUUAUUUCAUUCUGAGCUAUAGAUUAUUUUCUAUGAUUUUUUGAAGUUUUAACUAUUUUCUGGAAUUUCCUGGAUUAAUUUAAUCUAGCAAAUCCUUUACUGCGUCAGCAUGACGUCGGUGUGACGUUAGCAAGUCAACAGGGCCGGUCCAGGUCAAACCAGACCUGCGGGGCCCACUGGUUACUGACAGAGGAGCUAAUCCCACAUUGACUCCCGCUUUGACUUGCUGUGGGCCCCUCUGUCAGCGUUUGAGGGCGGUUUAUCUGGCGGGGAUUAGUACUAAUGGCAGUGCCACGUCAGCACUCGCCGGAGUUCCGCCGGCAGCGACCAAAACCGACGACGGAGACGUCGCGGGAAGGCGCUACAGGGGGUGGUUUCGGACGCGGUUCGCGACUACAAGUAGUUGGGUGUGUGGCACAUCCAGAGGUGGCGGCGGCUGGAGCUGGUGUGGCUGGAGCAUCGCCAGAAUGGAGCUCACAGCAGUGGCGGGCAAAGUGAAGUGUUGGGCAGCCUCCUGGGAUCACUAGGAUUUCGGUGCGGUGCACGGGCGCGACCCGUUCGAGCUCAGGCCACGGCAGCGACAAUGGCGGGCGGCGGUGAGCUCUCAGGUCCGGCUGUGGAGCUAGCUAGAGGACGAGUUAGACUGCGGGGAGUGUGACGCCCCAAGACCGGAGCUUCAGGUGCCUUCCAUGAAUCCCGGGUUUCGUCAUGUGAUUUGUUUGGUUCAUUGCAUUCAUCAUUGCAUCAUAUGCAUUGCAUUAUGUCAUCAUGCCAUCUUUUUCUCAACAAUGAAAUCGGAUGGAUCUUAGAUCCAUUUAAACCGAGGGAAUUCACAUGGUGUUUCUCUUUAGAACAUAUACUUCCAAUAUUAUUAGGGAGCUAUAUAAAAACAUUCCGUUAGUCUAGAAUUAACCACAACAAACUUGCAUGAUAAAUCCCUCUCGUUUCUAAACUAUUUUUGCAUCCAUGAUCUUUCCUCCAAGGCCCUUCUCCAAGUGCAAACCAUUUCACUUAUACCUUCUUGCAAAUUUCACCCAUUUAUUGCAAGUGGCAUUCUCCUCUUUCUUGAAAAUGUUCAUCUGUUCCCUAUAAAUGCUAGACCGUGCCAAGACCACCUCCUCCAAUUUUCAGGUAUUUGGGAAGUGUUUUGGUUGGGCUAAGGAUUUAUUCGAGUUUGAGUUUUUUUCAACUUGCAUAAAAAUUGCAGCCUCUAAAAAAUUGCCAUAGCAUUUUAUUCAAAUAUCUCAGAAACCCAGGAUCCCCGGGAUAUUUUUAUAUACCCCAUACCCUUCUCCUUACCCCCUGAUCUUGUCUUUUGACUUCCGGUUAUUUUCUUAAGAAGAAUAUGAGAUUUAAGAGGGGGAAGGUAGUGCAACAGCCGAGCUGGCCGGCCCAUCUGCAGGCCCAGCCGAACCCCCUCCUAAUCCUAACCCUAGGCCCAGCCGAACCAUCUCACCCUCUCCCUCGAUCCCCUCCUCCUUGUCUCCCUGCUCGCGGCGCCAGGAGGGAAGCGCCCGAUGCCCUCUGCCCAAUCCCAUCUCUCUCUCACCAUCUCCCUCCCGCAGCGCCGCCUCCCUCCUCUCGUUCUCUUUUCCUUUCACGCCCGAUCCUCCCUCUGCUGCACCGCAUCGCCAGACCACUACUGCCCCCCUCUACUGCACCGCGUCGCCGGACCGCAGUUGCCUCCUACCUCCGGCGAGGGGCACUGCCUUGCACCAUCUCGUGGACCGCACGGCCGCCGACCAUGGAGACCACCGUGCCGGCCCUCAAGUGCGUCGCCCGUGCUCCUUCCCCGCCUCAGAUGCCUCGUCGUCCGUCCUUUUGCUGGAGCAUGUGCCCGAGUCCGUUCGACUCCGCCGGCCACCGUGACCGCCUCCCCCGCCUUCGCUCCCAUCUCCGACAAGUGCAGGCGUCGGUGAAGCCCCACAGCGCCUUCUCCAGCUCAUCAUCGACCUCGCCCUGUCUCUACCUUUUCGCCAGAUGCCAUCCCUGCUGCUGGGGAACCUUGGAUUCACCUGUUCCCCAUCUUCGGCGCCGUGCUAGGCCUCCCCCACGCCUCGCUAGCUGAUGCUGCGCCGCCAUUUCCUGUUCGUCCUUUGCUCACACCUCCAUCCAGGGCUGCCUCUCUUCGGUGACCACCAAUACCUGAGGCCCUAUCGGUGUUGCUUCGUUUUGAAUGUGCCAUCCUUUCCGACAAGUGUACGAGAACACGGUGACGCGUGAAGUACCUCUAUCUUCGUCUUCGGAAUCGCCAAGUUUGAUGUUGGAACGUGCACGACUACGCGGAUUUGCCAAGUACCACGAUGCCCCCUCCUCCUGAAGAGUUCGGGUUCGACAAGUCCGAUGUCGCGCUUGUACAACUACACUGCCGAGACCGAGACUAGCGAGACCGACCUUGUAACGCUAUGCCAAGUACCUCUACCAGUGACUCGAACAUCUACAAACCGUGUACAACUACCACCGCUGUAAUUUUGACAAGAAACGUGUACCACUACCGUCACGAGUACCUCUACCAUCAUCAUGUACCCCUACUUUCACUACCAUCGUGAAAACAACUACUUCCUCUACGAACUCGAACCGCUCUGAGAAUGCUCCCUUGGAAGGUAUAACCACCGAGACGACGCCCGUGAAUAAAUGUUGUGUGAUGUAUGAGAUGCUCGUGGUUGCACCGUGUCCGAGUUGUUCUUUGCGAGUUCCUCGUUGCCUUACCAUCGAUAUGUGGGAACCCGGUAUCCGGGAGCACCCCAUCUUCUUGCAUGACACACUCACACCAACUUCCUUUUGCACUGGUAUUCCCGUGAACUACCAGAUCAUAUGAAUGUUGCCGCAACAUCAUUUCCGUUUCGUCACCGUUGCACCCCUUUCUUUCUACCACAGUGACAAAUGCUCUCAUCACGCUCAUGUCAACUUUUAACAAAAAAUGCAUAAAACUUGAACGUGGCAUCCGCAUCAUGAUAACAACAUGAAGAAUGUUUAAAAUUGUUGUUUGCAUUAAACUGCUAAAUGCAUAUGGGGAUUUACCAAAAUUGUUGUUUGAUGUUUCCGGUCCCAUUUAAAUUGCUUAGAUAGUGUAGUUUACUUUUGCUUCUCCUCUUGCCAUGCUUAACAAGAUUUAAUAUUGUUGGAUACAUAAACGGGAGAGAACUAAAUAAUUGAUGUGGUGUUUCGCCAAUAUGCAACUCGUUGCAUAUUGAGCUCCACUUAACUUGUAGUUUUGGUUGUGCACUUUGCCAUGCCAUGCUUCUUUGAACCGGACAUGCAUCAUACUUGGUUGUGCAUCAUGCCAUGUUUAUGUGAUGGUUGUUUACUAUGUUGCCUGCUUCUUUCCGGGUUGCUUCUCUCGUUAGCUUCGGUUCCGUUCCGGAGUUGUGAGGAUCCGUUUGACUACAUCCAUUUGUCUUCUUCUUGGACUCGUUCUUCUUCCUUGCGGGAUCUCAGGCAAGAUGACCAUACCCUCGAUAUCACUUCUAUCUUUGCUUGCUAGUUGUUCGCUCUAUCGCUAUGUCGCGCUACCUACCACUUGUUAUAUCAUGCCUCCCAUAUUGCCAUGUCAAGCCUCUAACCCACCUUCCUAGCAAACCAUUGUUUGGCUAUGUUCCCACUUUUGCUUAGCCCCUCUUAUAGCGUUGCUAGUUGCAGGUGAAGUUGAAGUUUGUUCCAUGUUGGAACAUGGUUAUGUUGGGAUAUCACUAUAUCUCUUAUUUUAAUUAAUGCAUCUAUAUACUUGGUAAAGGGUGGAAGGCUUGGCCUUAUGCCUGGUGUUUUGUUUCACUCUUGCCGCCCUAGUUUCCGUCAUACCCGUGUUAUGUUCCUUGAUUUUGCAUUCCUUACACGGUUGGGUGUUCUGGGAACCCCUUGACAGUUCGCUUUGAAUAAAACUCCUCCAGCAAGGCCCAACCUUGGUUUUACAUUUGCCUAACAACCUAUCACCUUCCCUUGGCUUCUGCAGACUCAAGGGUCAUCUUUAUUUUAACCCGCCCGGGUCAGUGCUUGUCUAAGUGUUGGUCCGAACCUGUCAGCCGCCGGCGGACACCAGGGACAACUCUGGGCUGGCCUACCGAAAGUUUGGACAAUCCAGUGUUGCCCUGAGAACGAGAUAUGUGCAGCCCCUAUCGGGAUGUCGACACAUCGGGCACCUUUGCUGGUCUUGUUUUACCAUUGUCGAAAUGUCUUGUAAUCGGGAUUCCGAGUCUGAUCGUGUCACAUCCCUAGCUUCUGGUACUGCUUAGUGCUAGCAUCUGGUGUUGCAUAAUGUUUAAGUUCCUCAGAAACUUGAAAUGGGGAUGACAGAACCCCCAGCACCCCCCCUUAAACCAACUAGGGUUACUAAAAUCAUUUUUAAUGAACCCAAAAUGCCCUUCUAAAAUGUCCAUCAUCUUUGCCGUGGUCUAAAACCUCUGGAAAAAAUGGUGCACAAAUUUCAAGGUCAUCCAAAGGUCACUGGAUUAAAUCAUAUGUUAUUUGCAUUUGGACAUUUAAAUGCUAUAAAAUACUUAAAAUGCCCAAAUAAUCAUAAACUAAAAUGUUUACUGUUGGAUAUAUUCUAAACAGUAGCCAUGAUUAGUUUCAUGAUUUUUAGAAGUGUUUAGGUAUUUUAGUAAAUCCACAAAGAUUACAAAAAAAUAGAAAAAACAGAAAUAAAAGAGAGAGAGAGAGACUAACCUGGGCCAACUCACCUGUGCAGCCCACCUGGCGGCCCAAGUGGCCGGCCCAGCCCCCCAGCGCCCCUUGUCAUCUUCCUGCUCUGCCAGGAGGACCACCAGGUGCGUGGCGAGCGUCGACGCUGCUCUGGCCAUCUCCUGCUUCCUCCCCGGACCUUCUAGCGAUGCCACGGAGACACCCCGUGGCCCCUCGCACCUCUCCCUCACUCUCUGCUCUCUCCUUCGCCCUCUAGUCCCUUCCACAAGCGCGACCAAACGCAGUCGUCACCGCUGACAAGCUCCCCCAUGGCCAUAGCCAUCUCCGAGCCUCUCCGACGCGCCCCCGAGCUCCGUCGUGACGCCCCGGUCCUCUCCGCCGAGCCACAUGACGCCGGACGCCCUGGAGCGUCGUCGUCGACGCCAUCUUCGCCCUCUACACCGACGGCCAUCGUCGACUGAUUCGUCGUCACCAGGCCAUCCCCGAGCACGCUGAGAUCACCGUUGACCCCGCCGUGAGCUCCUCUACCGAACCCCUCUCUCCCCGACAUCGUUCUCCUCCUCUAGCCCCGCUGUCCAUCGGAGUCGAAAGCUCACCGCCGCCAUGGUUCUUCACCGCUGUGGCCAGGGCCACGGCAGCCCGCGCCUAAGCCGCGUCACCGUGCUCGGUGAACCCCCACGAGCGCAUAGCACCUGCCAGUUUAUCCACCUAGCGCCCCGUAGUGUUGACCCCGUCCACACCCGAACUCCGGCCGCCGCCGUGAGCUUGUUUCCGGCGAUCUCCUGUCACCCUGCGACCUGCCGCUGCCUCUUCUGGAUGCACGGGCGCAAGGGCUAUGCCAUGGUACCCUCAGCAAGCCAAACCGUCGCCCAUAGCGUGUUUUUGAGCCGCGCCGCCGUCGGUUUGGUCGCCGCCGGCGAGGUUCCGGUGACGCUGACGUGGCACGGUUAGUUUAGGUACUAAUCGUGUUUAGUUAGUGCCCCGUGUCGAUGACGUACGGGCCCCACUGCCUAAUUAACCUAGUUUAUCAUUUGUUUAGUUUUAACUAACCUCACGGGUCCCACAGGUCAGUUGGACCUAGCCACGUCACACGUUGACUGACCCCACACGUCAGAGUUGACUAGCUGACGUGUCUGUUGACCCGGCGCCACCUGUCAGCGACACUAACGAGCACCGUGUCACUGACCAGUGGACCCCACUGGUCAGGUUUGACCCGGGGCAGCUCUGUUGACCCUGCUGAUGUCACCCUGACGCAAUACUGAUGUAGGAAGUCAUUUUCUGGAUUUAAUUUAACUCAAAAAAUUCCAAAAACAGCUACAAACUUCAGAAAUUCAUAGAUUAAAUCGUAACUCCAAAUGAAAUAAUUUAUAUAUGAAAAAUUAUCAGAAAAAUAUGAAGAAUCUGUUUAUGCCAUGUUCAUGCAUGUUUGAGCAAGUUAACAUCACCAACUAGGACAAUUCAUGUUUAUGGAAUAUAUGGUAUGUAGUUUUGGAGUUGGAAUUUGCUAUAUGUUUGAAUUCCACUUCAAUUAAUAUGACUAAUUGUUGCAUUAGGUGAAUUCAGUACCUUUACAUGCCAUGAUCAUACAUCAUGUUUGUUGCAUUGCUUUGAUUGUGUUCCCUCUCAUUUGCCGGUGUUUGUCCCCUCUCAGUUGACGUGGUUUCGAAGAUGUGAUUGAUGACACCGAUGAAGAGCUAUAUCAUCUUCAGAAGUGCCAGGCAAGCAAAAAACCCUUGCUCAUUCCGAUACAAUCCCACUCUCUCGCUCCUGCUCUCUUUUACCGCAUUAGGACAACAACGAUUCAUCUGUUACUUGCUGUGGUAGUUGAACCCCUUAUCCUCUGCAUGACCUGUCAUUGCCAUAGUAAAUAGAUGAAACCCACUAGCAUGAGUAGGAUUUGUUUGAGCCCUAAUGUGCCUACUCAUUCAUGCUUGUUUGUCGUGCCUGCUACUGCUUAGAGUUGUGUCGGGUCCGAUUCAUCGGGGAUGAAUCGGAGGUGUGUGAACAUGUCCUACUGUUGAGAGCUAAGUGUGUGAACAUGAUUUGGUAAAGGUAUCGGUGAGAGGCCAUGUAGGAGUACGUGGUGGGUUGUCUCACUGAAACCGUCCUCAGGAACUGAGUUCUGUGUUGUGAUCCAUGAAACAGCUACUACCACACGUUGGGCCCUGAAAUAUGACCCCGCUCGACUUAUUAACCGCCCUUGUCCUUUGUCCAGGAGUUGCAACUAGUUUCUGGUGUUUAUAGGUUAUGUGUUGGCGGCCGUGCGUAGCGCUGACCCCAGAGGUGGGCUAUGAUGCGGUAGAUACACCGUGGCACGGUGUACCGAGUCGCCCGUUUGGUGUCUCGGGAACCCUGCACACAUCGUUUGGGGCUUUGAGCGAAACUCCGGUCGGAUCUCCUCGCGGAUGGAACCCGAAUAGGUGAUAAACCUAGACUAGAGACUUGUGUGGUUAGUCAGGUCGUGGUCUACAUCCAUGUCGGCUUUCGCUUGAAGUCUGCCGAGCACAUGUCGUGUGCAGACGCUAAGUGGUGGAAACAUGUGUGAAGAAGUACACCCCUGGAGGGUUAUAAAUGAUCUAUUCGAAUAGAUGUGUCCACGGUAAAGGACUUCUGGGUUGCCUAUAACAGUUCAUAGACAAGUGGAAGUGGAUACUCUAAAAUGCGCAAGAUAAGCGUGAGUCCUAUGGAUGGCGUUCUAGUAGGUAGAUGGGAGCGGAUCCAUAGUGGUGUAUUGAUUGGUGAAUAUGUGGACUCGUGUGCGCCACCUCAAAAGAGUUACUUGCAGUCGUAGUUUAAGAUAGCCACCGAUUGAAAGCUGGCUUGCUGCAGUUAAAGUCCACCACCCCCUUGUUGAUACCGAUGCAUAUGUAGUUAGUUCUGAUGUAAGUCUUGCUGGGUACAUUUGUAAUCACGUUUGCUUAAUUUAUGUUUUGUAGAGAGACGUCAGUCUCGCUAGUAGUUCUGUGUGGACUUCGACGUUUAGCUUGAUACCUCAGCUAUGAUCUUGUGCCCUCGGCAGGAUCUGGUAGAUAGUCAGGCUUCUCAGCCUUUUUCAUUUGUAGAUGUCUGUACUCAGACAUGUUAAGCUUCCACAUGUGCUUUGAUUUGUAUGCUAUGAUUGUUGGGUCAUGAGACCCAUGUUUGUAAUAUCUCGCUCCUCGGAGCCUAAUGAAUAAUUACACUGAGUCGUAGAGUCUUGUUGUGAUGCCAUGUUGUAUUUGCACAUGUCCAGCAUAUUGUGUGUAUGAUUGAAAUGCUUGGUAUGUGUGGGAUCCGACAACCUAGUUGUUUAUCCUUGGUAGCCUCUCUUAUGGGGCAAUGUAGUCUGGUGCUUCCACUUAGCCUUGGUAGUCUGCUACAGCCCGGUUUACCGGAGUCCUGCUAGCCCAGUACUACUGCUCCAGAACACUUAGACUGGCCGGCAUGUGAUUCACUUCGUUCCUGUGUCUGUCCCUUCGAGGAAAUGUCACGCGGUGACUUCCGGAGUCCUGCUAGCCUGCUACAGCCCGGGUUCCCGGAGUCAUGUUAGCCCAGUUGCUACAGCUCGGAUUCACACGCUGAUGACCGACAUGUUCGAUGUUGUUUCAUGUAUGCUUGUCACCGUAAGUUAGUGCCACUUUGGGUUCACGACUAGUCAUGUCGGCCCGGGUUCUCUAUCAUAUGGAUGCUAGGGACACUAUCAUAUACGUGAGCCAAAAGGUGCAAACAGUCCCGGGCCAGGUAAGGUGGCACCCGUGGGAAUACCGUGUGUGAGGCUGCAAAGUGAUAUGAAGUGUUACAUGCUAGAUCGGUGUGACUUAGGAUCGGGGUCCUGACAGCUUUGGUAUUAGAGCCUGACUGCCUGUAGGCUUACCAAGCCAAACUGGUCGAAGUUGAGUCUAGAAAUGCUUUAGCUAUAUGUAGGAGAAUUGAUUGUGGGAUGGAACACAAGUCUCUUUUUAAUGCUUACCCCAUGGCCUUCUGAUCUGAGUCAUCCUCUUCUCUACACAAUCGCAGAGGUGCUCCCCUUAUGCCCUAGCCGAAUUAACGGGAACGUAGGGCAUAAAUACAAGAGCCAGGCAACCCAGCUUGGCCAAAACUUAAGUCAUAUCGAUGCAUAUAAUGGUGAAAAAAGGUACACGCGGAAGUUUAACACAUGUGUGGGACAUGAGGCCCAGAUAAAUAAUUUAAGCUUCUGUGAAAGAAGCCCCCAGGUAUGAAGAGUGCGGCUAGCGCAUCUGUAAUAUGCAGGCGAGGCACAAGGUGACCCUUGAAGGCCUAGAGAAAUAAUAAAAGAAAGAAAGAAAAACAAGACAGAUAAUGAAUAUGCGAAAAAUGGACAAAGGGAGGGGACUAACUUAGAGUCCGGUGCUAGGCGUAGAAUCUUCGGAGCCUGGCCGCGUUCCAUGGGUUCGGCUCAAGUCGACUAGUCGAUGCAUCCCACAGUCGGUACGCUCCACCGGUCAGAACUUGGUCAAUAAUGAAGGGACCUUCCCAUUUGGGCCCGAGUUUGUUCUUUUUCUUAUCCGGUAGGAGUAGAACUAGUUCGCCAACGUUAUAAGUUUUGGCCCGUACUUCUCUGCUUUGGUAUCUGCAAGCCUGUUGCUGAUAAAACGCGGAACGGGCUUUGGCUAUGUCACGCUCCUCCUCCAAUGUGUCCAGACUGUCCUGCCGGUCGAUCUCGGCUUCUCUUUCUUCGUACAUGCGCACUCGAGGUGAGUCAUGAAUUAUGUCAGAGGGCAAGACUGCCUCUGCACCGUACACCAUAAAGAAGGGUGUAUAUCAGGUACUACGAUUCGGCAUGGUCUGCAGCCCCCAGAGUACGGAGUCGAGCUCCUCUACCCAGUGCGUAUUAGACUCCAUUAAGGAGAGCACUAAUCUGGGUUUAAUGCCGCUCAUUAUAAGACCGUUUGCUCGCUCGACUUGACCGUUGGUUUGUGGGUGAUAGACUGAAGCAUAAUCGAGCUUGAUGCCCAUUUUGCUGCACAAGAGUUUUACCUCGUCGGCCAUGAAGUUCGUGCCAUUAUCAGUGAUGAUGCUGUGGGGGAUGCCAUAACGGUGUACAACCCCGGAUAUGAAGUCUAUCACCGGUCCGGAUUCAGCUGUUUUAACAUGUUUGGCCUCUAUCCAUUUGGUGAAUUUAUCCACCAUGACCAAUAAGUAUUUUUUCUUGUGGGUUCCCCCUUUAAGGCGUCCAACCAUGUCAAGCCCCCAGACCGCAAAGGGCCAUGUAAUGGGGAUUGUUUGGAGGGCGGUGGGUGGCAUGUGGCUUUGAUUUGCAAAGAGCUGGCAACCGGCACAGCAUUAGACCAAGUCCUGUGCAUCUGCCCGGGCCAUUGGCCAAUAGAAUCAUGUACGAAAGGCCUUGCUUACAAGAGCCCGGGCUGCGGCGUGAUGACCGCCGAGUCCGGCGUGAAUUUCUGUCAAAAGGUUCCUCCCAUCCUCUUCGGAGAUGCACCUUUGAAGGAUUCCGGUAGUACUUUUUUUGUACAAUUCUCCCUCAUGGACCCUGUAGGCCUUGGAUCGCCGCACUAUGCAGCGUGCCUCAUUUUGGUCCUGCGGAAGUUCCUAUCUAGUUAGGUAGGCCAGGAAUGGUUCUGUCCACGGAGCAACAAUGGCCAUUAUUUUGGGGGGGGGGGACUGUUGUUACCGGUGUUGGGUAUUUUGGUUGGGUCCGGACUGUUGAUACCGGUGUCCCCUUCCCAUACAAUGGAUGGCUUGAACAACCUUUCUAAAAAUAUGUUGGGGGGACUGCAUCAUGUUUUGCGCCAAUGCGGGCGAGGAUAUCUGCCGGCUGAUUGUUUUCCCGAGCCACAUGGUGAAAUUCGAUCCCCUUGAACCGAGCUGACAUAUUUAGGACGGCAUUUCGAUAAGCCACCAUUUUCGGAUCCUUGGCGUCAAAGUCUCCAUUUAUUUGGGAUAUUGCGACGUUUGAAUCCCCAUGCACCUCCAAGCGUUGAAUGCCCAUGGAGACUGCCAUCCGAAGACCAUGCAACAGAGCUUCGUAUUCGGCUACAUUGUUGGAGUCUGUAUACAAUAUUUGCAAUAUGUACCGAACGGUAUCUCUUGUUGGGGACAUCAGGACGACGCCAGCCCCUAGACCAGCCAGCAUUUUAGAACCGUCGAAGUGCAUGAUCCAAUUUGAGUAUGCGUCGUACUCUUUAGGGAGUUCGGCCUCCGUCUAUUCGCUGACGAAGUCGGCCAAUACUUGCGACUUAAUGGCUCGUCGAGGUUUGUAUGUUAUGUCGAAUGGGAGGAGCUCAAUGGCCCAUUUGGUAAUCCGGCCUGUAGCGUCGCGGUUGUUUAUAAUAUCAUUAAGUGGCACUUCCGAGGCUACUGUAAUCGAACACUCUUGAAAGUAGUGGCACAGCUUCCGCGAUGCCAUGAAUACCGCAUAUGAUAUAUUUUGGUAAUGCGGGUACCGUGAUUUGCAUGGAGUGAGGACAGUGGAUACAUAGUAUACCGGCUUCUGCAGAGGGAAUUUAUGUCUGUCCGCUUCCCGUUCGACAACGAGCACCACGCUUACAACUUGAUGAGUUGCCGCAAUGUACAACAACAUUGGUUCGUCGAUGUUUGGCACGGCCAGGAUUGGGUUGGUUGCCAAGAUGGAUUUUAUUUCUUCCAAUCCGGCUGUGGCCGCGUCCGUCCACUCAAAGUGUUCGGUGCGCCGAAGGAGGCGAUAAAGGGGUAAAACCUUUUCUCCUAAGCAGGAGAUAAAGCGGCUUAGAGCCGCCAUGCAUCCAGUUAACUUCUGGAUUUGUUUGAGGUCUGUUGGGGUAGCCAACCAUGACAAAGCUCGGAUUUUGGCCGGAUUAGCUUCAAUACCUCUACUGGAGACAAUGAAACCCAGGAGCUUUCCUGCUGGUACGCCGAAAAGGCAUUUUUCCAGAUUGAGCUUGAUGUCGUAUGUUCGGAGGUUGUCGAAUGUGAGCCUCAAGUCGUCUAUCAAAGAGUCGACGUGUUUGGUUUUGACGACCACAUCGUCUACGUAUGCCUCUACUGUUUUGCCGAUUUGUUUCUCCAGACAUGUCUGAAUCAUGUGCUGGUAUGUUGCGCCGGCGUUUUUGAGCCCAAAAGGCAUUGUGUUAAAACAGAAGGGACCGUAUGGUGUGAUGAAUGCCAUUGCGGCUUGGUCGGACUCCGCCAUCUUGAUUUGGUGGUAACCGGAGUAUGCGUCGAGGAAACACAAUGACUCGUGUCCGGCGGUAGCAUCAAUGAUUUGAUCGAUGCGUGGGAGGAGGAAGGGAUCCUUUGGGCAAGCUUUAUUGAGGUCUUUGAAAUCAACACAAAGGCGCCAGGAUUUGUCCUUCUUUGGUACCAUCACCAGGUUUGCUAGCCAGUCCGGGUGUUUUAUUUCUCUGAUGAAUCCGGCCUCCAAUAACUUGGCUAGUUCCUCUCCCAUGGCCCGUCUCUUAGGUUCGGAGAAAUGCCGAAGAGCUUGCUUGACCGGCUUGAAUCCCUUUAGGAUAUUGAGGCUAUGCUCGGCCAGCCUGUAUGGGAUUCCUGGCAUGUCAGAGGGAUGCCAGGCGAAUAUGUCCCAGUUCUCGUGCAGGAACUCUCAUAGUGCAGCGUCCACAGCAGGGUUUAACUGUGCCCCGAUGGAGGCUGUUUUUGUAGGGUCCGUUGGGUGGACUUGGAAUUUGACUAUUUCAUCCGCUGGUUUAAAAGAGGUGGACUUGGAUCUCUUGUCGAGUAUCACGUCGUCCCUGUCCACUGUGGAGCGUAGCAUGGUUAAUUCCUCGGUCGAGAGGGCUUCAGAUAAUGCCUCGAGGGCCGGUGCGGCUGUUUUGUUUUCGGCACAGAGUGUUAUGUCCAGAUCGCUGACGAGAGUGAUGAUUCCGUUGGGUCCGGGCAUUUUGAGCUUCAUGUACCCGUAAUGGGGUACGGCUUGGAAGAUUGUGAAUGCCUCCCAUCCUAAAAGAGCGUGAUAACCACUGCUGAACGGGGCCACUUGGAAUGUAAUUUCUUCGGACCUGUAAUUGUCCGGCGUGCCGAAUACCACAUCUAGUGUGAUUUUCCCAGCACAGCGUGCUUCCCAACUGUGGAUGAUUCCUCUAAAGGUUGUGCUACUUUGCUCAAUGCGGUUCCAGUCUAUUUCCAUAUUUUGAAGAGUUUCCUCAUAUAUGAGGUUUAAUCCGCUUCCGCCGUCCAUGAGUACUUUGGUGAGUCAAAAGCCGUCCACGGUUGGACUGAGGACUAGUGCGGCUGGUGCUCGGGCUGUUCGGAAUUUAGGUUCGUCACUGGCAUUGAAGGUAAUAGCCGUGUCACUCCAUGGAUUUAUUGCUGCUACGUGGCAGAUUUCGGCCAUGCUGCGGAGUGUUCGCUUGUGCCUAUUAUUUGACGCGAAGGUCUCAAACACUGUUAACACCGUAUUGUUAUCCAUGGGAUGGUGCUCUGUGGUAUUUGGGAUAAGAAGAUUCUCACCACUUUUGGCCACCUGCCGGAGUAUCCAACAUGCUCUAAGGUUGUGUGUUGGUAUUAUAUAUGCUGUACUAUGAAUUUUGCAGAGUCCGUUGAGCCAUCACUCCAGUAUGGUUCCAUGCCCUGUAGAGGGUUUUUGCUUUUUGGUAGUUGACCCGGGUGUAUUGUGAUAAUGCACCCUUUUAUUUCGGACUGGGUUUGUAUUCAGGGCCGGAUUAUCCCAAAAGUUUGUUUCGGUUUUCCAGGCACUUUCCAUCGCACAGUACUUUCGUACUAUGGACGCCAAGUCAGCGAAGCGUGUUAUCUCAUGGCGAUUUUAUGGCGUUAAGGAUUCCCUUGUCCGUACAAUUAUUGCAGAAAAAUAGGAUUGCGUCUUCCUUGCGACAGUCCUUAACCUUGUUCAUCGCAAGGAGGAAUCUGGCCCAAUAGUGAUGUAAUGUUUCCUAGGGCUCUUGCCUGAUGUGGGAAAGAUCGCUUAUGUUUGGGUGGGUGGGUGGAAUUGGAUCCGAACCCUUACCCAAUCUGGGAUCCAGGGGCCGAGGAGUUUCCAAUUUUGGAAGUUCCGGUUCCGGGAUGUUACCCGAUAAUCCUGGCCCGCUGCCUGACUCUAAGUUCAGGUAUUGGAUGUUUUCCUCCCGUGAACGGGCGUCCGGCUCGGAGAGAUCGGGAAUCCGGACAUAGUCGGUCCUCAAGAUAGAGGAAAGGUCGCCGCAUUGUUCCUCCACCACUGCAAUAUGAUGGGUGACCGGUGGAGAGUUAAUCUCCCUUUGAUCGGGUUUAAGCCCAAUCCGAUCAUAGUCCGUAACGACUCCCAAGGCGGUGAUGCGAUCCAAGAGCUCGUUUAGGGAGGCGAGCUCCAUUGGACCCAUCUGUUUGGCGAGUGCCGAUUUGACGUGGAGGUUGUUUUCGAUGACCCGAGAAGUCAUCGUCGGCGCGGCGGCCGAACAGGCGGUCAUAAUGAAACCGCCUAGCCGGAGAGUUUGGCCGACAGCCAAAGCUCCUCCAACAGUAGUACCAUCUCUAAAGACGAGAUGAGACAUCCUUCCUUCUGGCGACGGCACAGAGGAACUCUCAAUGAAAGCACCAAUGUCGGUGUCAAAACCGGCGGAUCUCGGGUAGGGGGUCCCGAACUGUGCGUCUAAGGCGGAUGGUAACAGGAGGCAGGGGACACGAUGUUUUACCCAGGUUCGGGCCCUCUUGAUGGAGGUAAAACCCUACAUCCUGCUUGAUUAAUAUUGAUGAUAUGGGUAGUACAAGAGUAGAUCUACCACGAGAUCAGAGAGGCUAAACCCUAGAAGCUAGCCUAUGGUAUGAUUGUAUGUUGUCCUACGGACUAAAACCCUCCGGUUUAUAUAGACACCGGAGGGGGCUAGGGUUACACAAGGUCGGUUACAAAGGAGAAGAUAUACAUAUCCGUAUUGUCUAGCUUGCCUUCCACGCCAAGUAGAGUUCCAUCCGGACACGAGACGAAGUGUUCAAUCUUAUAUCUUCAUAGUCCAACAGUCCGGCCAAAGGAUAUAGUCCGGCUGUCCGGAGACCCCCUAAUCCAGGACUCCCUCAGGUGUACUUCUUCACACAUGUUUCCACCACUUAGCGUCUGCACACAACAUGCGCUUGGCAGACUUCAAGCGAAAGCCGACCUGGGUGUAGACCACGACCUGACUAACCACACAAGUCCCUAGUCCAGGUUUAUCACCUAUUCGGGUUCCAUCUGCGAGGAGAUCCGGCCGGAGUUUCGCUCACAGCCCCAAACGAUGUGUGCAGAGUUCCCGAGACACCAAACAGGCGACUCGGUACACCGUGCCAUGGUGUAUCUACCGCAUCAUAGCCCACCCCUAGGGUCAGCGCUACGCACGGCUGCCAACACAUAACCUAUAAACACCAGAAACUAGUUGCAACUCCUGGACAAAGGACAAGGGCGGUUAAUAAGUCGAGCGGGGUCAUAUUUCAGGGCCCAACGUGUGGUAGUAGCUGUUUCAUGGAUCACAAACACAGAACUCAGUUCCUGAGGACGGUUUCAGUGAGACAACCCACCAUGUACUCCUACAUGGCCUCUCACUGAUACCAUUACCAAAUCGUGUUCACACACUUAGCUCUCAACAGUAGGACAUGUUCACACACCUCCGAUUCAUCCCCGAUGAAUCAGACCCGACACAACUCCAAGCAGUAGUAGGCACGAGAAACAAGCAUGAAUGAGUAGGCACAUCAGGGCUCAAACAACUCCUACUCAUGCUAGUGGGUUUCAUCUAUUUACUGUGGCAAUGAUAGGUCAUGCGGAGGAUAAGGGGUUCAACUACCGCAGCAAGUAACGGAUGAAUCGUUGUUGUCCUAAUGCAGUAAAAGAGAGCAGGAGCGAGAGAGUGGGAUUGUAUCGGAAUGAGCAAGGGGGUUUUGCUUGCCUGGCACUUCUGAAGAUGAUAUAGCUCUUCAUCGGUGUCAUCGAUCACAUCGUCGAAACCACGUCUACUGAGAGGGGACAAACACCGGCAAACAAGAGGGAACACAAUCAAUGCAAUGCAACAAACAUGAUGUAUGAUCAUGGCAUGUUAAGGUACUGAAUUCACCUAAUGCAACAGUUAGUCAUAUUAAUUGAAGUGGAAUUCAAACAUAUAGAAAAUUCCAACUCCAAAACUACAUACCAUAUAUUCCAUAAACAUGAAUUGUCCUAGUUGGUGAUGUUAACUUGCUCAAACAUGCAUGAACAUGGCAUAAACAGAUUCUUCAUAUUUUUCUGAUAAUUUUUUAUAUAUAAAUUAUUUCAUUUGGAGUUACGUUUUAAUUUUCUAUGAUUUUUUGAAGUUUAUAGUUAUUUCUGUAAUUUUCUGAGUUAAAUUAAAUCUAGAAAAUGACUUCCUGCGUCAGUAUUGCGUCAGGGUGACAUCAGCAGGGUCCACAGAGCUGCCCCGGGUCAAACCUGACCAGUGGGGUCCACUGGUCAGUGACACGGUGCUCGUUAGUGUCGCUCACAGGUGGCGCCGGGUCAACAGACACGUCAGCUAGUCAACUCUGACGUGUGGGGUCAGUCAACAUGUGACGUGGCCAGGUCAAACUAAACAGAUGAUAAAAUAGGUUAAUUAGGCAGUGGGGCCCGUAUGUCAUCGACACGAGGCACUAACUAAACACGAUUAGUACCUAAACUAACGAUGCAACGUCAGCGUCACCGGAACCUCGCCGGCGGCGACCAAACCAACGGCGGCGCAGCUCGGAAACACGCUACGGGCGGCGGUUUGGCUUGCUAAGGGUACCAUGGCAUAGCCCUUGCCCCCGCGCAUCCAGAAGAGGCAGCAGCAGGUCGCGGGGUGACCGGAGAUCGCUGGAAACAAGCUCACGGCGGCGGCCGGGGUUUGGGCGUGGACGGGGUCGACGCUACGGGGCGCUAGGGGGAUAAACUAGCAGGUGCUACGCGCUCCUGGGGGUUCACCAAGCACGGUGACACGCUUAGGCGCGGGCUGCGGUGGCCCUGGUCACGACGGUGAAGAACCAUGGUGACGGUGAGCUUUCGGCUCCGGUGGACAGCGGGGCUAGAGGAGGAGAACGACGGCGGGGAGAGAGGGGUUCGGUAGAGGAGCUCACGGUGGGGUCGUUAGUGAUCUCAGCGUGCUCGGGGCUGGCCUAGUGAUGACGAAUCGGUUGAUGACGGUCGUCGGUGCAGAGGGCGAAGAUGGUGUCGACGACAGCGCUCCAGGGCGUCCGGCGUCAUGUGGCUCAGUGGAGAGGACCGGGGCGUCAUGGCGGAGCUCGGGGCGCGUCGGAGAGGCUCGGAGAUGGCUGUGGCCAUGGGGGACCUCGUCGGCGGCGACAUCUGCAUUCGGUCGUGCUCGUGGAAGGGACUAGGGGGCGAAGGAGAGAGCAAAGAGUGAGGGAGAGGAGCGAGGGGCCACGGGGCGUCUUCGUGGCAUCGCUGGAAGGUCCUGGGAGGAAGCAGGAGGUGGCCAGAGCAGUGUCGGCGCUCGCCACGCACCUGGUUGUCCUCCUGGCAGAGGAGGAAGAUGACAAGGGGCGCUGGGGGGCUGGGCCGGCCACUUGGGCCGCCAGGUGGGCUGCACAGGUGAGUUGGCCCAGGUUAGUCUCUCUGUCUCUCUUUUAUUUCUGUUUUUUCUAUUUUUCUGUAAUCUUUGUGGCUUUACUAAAAUAACUAAACACUUCGAAAAAUCAUGAAGCUAAUCAUGGCUACUGUUUAGAAUAUAUCCAACAGUAAACAUUUUAGUUUAUGAUUAUUUGGGCAUUUUAAGUAUUUUAUAGCAUUUAAAUGCCCAAAUGCAAAUAACAUAUGAUUUAAUCCAGUGACCUUUGGAUGACCUAGAAAUUUGUGCACCAUUUUUGUCCGAGGUUCUAGACCAUGACAAAGAUGAUCGACAUUUUAGAAGGGCAUUUUGGGUUCAUUGAAAAUUAUUUUAGUAACCCUAGUUGGUUUAAGGGGGUGCUGGGGGUUCUGUCAUCCCCAUUUCAAGUUUCUCAGGAAUUUGAACAUGAUGCAACACUAGAUGCUAGCACUAAGCAGUACCAGAAGCUAGGGAUGUGACAGAUCGGGUCUUCCUGGGAGAAGGAAUAUCCUUCGUUGACCGUGAGAGCUUGUGAGGGGCUAAGUUGGGACACCCCUACAGGGUUUUGAACUUUCGAAAGCCGUGCCCGCGGUUAUGGGAUGAUGGGAAUUUUUAAUGUCCGGUUGUAGAGAACAUGACACUUAACUUAAUUAAACUGAAUCAACCGUGUGUGUAGCCGUGAUGGUCUCUUCUCGGCGGAGUCCAGGAAGUGAACACGGUCUCGUGUUAUGCUUGAACAUAAGUAGCUUCAGGAUCACUUCUUGAUCACUAUUAGCUUCUCGACCGUGCUUUGCUUCUCUUCUCGCUCUCUUUUGCGUAAGUUAGCCACCAUAUAUGCUAGUGCUUGCUGCAGCUCCAGCUCACUACCCUUUCCUACCUUUAAGCUUAAAUAGACUUGAUCACGAGGGUGUGAGAUUGCUGAGUCCUCGUGACUCAUGGAUACUUCCAAAUAGUUGCAGGUGCCGAUGAUUCCAGUGUAGAUGAUGCAACCGAGUUCAAGUGGGAGCUCGAUGAAGAUCUUGUCCGUUGUGUUGUUUCGUUAUCCUGUUGGUCAGUAGAGGUGCCCAGUUGGGUCGAUCAGGGAUCUAGCAUUUGGGGUUGUCUUUCUUUAUUUUGGUUCCAUAGUCAGACCUUAUUGUAUUCUGGAUGAUGUAUGAUAUAUUUAUGUAUUGUGUGAAGUGGCGAUUGUAAGCCGACCAUUUACCCCUUUCUUAUUUAGUACGUGGGAUGUGUAAAGAUUACCCCUCUUGUGACAUGCCUACCAUGCGGUUAUGCCUCUAAGUCGUGCCACGACACGUGGGAGAUAUAGCCACUUUGUGGGUGUUACAGGGAGAGAGGGGAAAAAUGCAGGUGCUCACGGCGCGUGCAGGGGGCGUCGAAGAGGGCUCGAAGACGGCUUGGCCGGAGCGAAUCGACAGCCACAAAUGGCAGCCCCCGAGGUUGGAGAUGGCGAUGAUGGCAUCGUUUCAGGCCUUCUGCAGUCGCGUGCCUUGGCGUGAAGCUCCACGGCGUCGAGGCGGAGAUAGAGGGUCGGACGACGAGGCGAGGCGUGCGCAGUGGCUACGGUGGUGCUCGUCGGCGUGCAAUGGGGUGUUCGAGCACGCUGCAGAGAGGAAGAAGAGGAGGGGAAAGGAUAAGGGAGUGGGCGAGAGGGACCAGGGUGGUGAGUGGCGUCGUCCAGAUGCGUCGAGGAGGGAGCCAGACAAGUAGGAGGUGACCAAGCGCGACGUCGGCAGUCACCACCGAGCUGCUUAAUGCGCUGGCACGGGGAAGAACACAGGCAUGCCCCUGGUGGGCUGGGCCGCCUUCUCCAUUGGGUCAGGUAAGUCAGGCGAAUUUCUGCUCUGUUUUAUUUUUCUAUUUUCUUCUCUUUUAUUUAUUUAUUUGCCAUUGUUUAAAUUCAAAAUAGAAUUUAAACACAUUCCUAAUCAUUCUAAAAUAUUUUAUGUUGCAUACAUGGACCUAGCCACUUGCCCAUAAAUUAUUUCAGGAGCAUUUGAAGAUAUAUUCUAGUUAUAUGAAUAUAAAUUCAAAUUCAAAAUACAAUAUGAUUUAAAAUCAGUGCCCAAAAUUAUUCUUCAAAAAUGAUCAUUAUUUUUGGUCUGGAUCAAGACCAUUACCAAAAAUUUGAAACAUCAAUGCAGAACAUUUUUGGUUCAUUGAAUGCAAUUUUUAGGGUUCUUGCCUUUCUUUUAAUUAAUUUUUUGAGGCUUUCAAAUUUCCCCAGUUUGACUUUUUUAGAAUUUAGACAUGAUGCAUGGAUGCAAUGCGACUAAAUACAAUCAUUAUUCUAGGGUUGUGACAACUGACCCCCACUAAACAAGAAUCCCGUCCCGAGAUUCAAGUAGUGAGGUAGAAGACAGAGGGACGCAAGCUAACAUGAUUCCAUGAUCCAAUUGUCCUUCACGAAGAUGUUGAUUCAUUGCAUCAUCUUGAGGUUCGAGCAACUUUGGAUCAUCUCAAUGAUCACAAGAUCAACUCACGGAAUGAGAUGUAUAAACAUCUCUGGAGCUGAGAGGCAAAACAUGCACUAGCAGGGACGGAAGAAACAAUUUGAUGAGGGUUUCAAAGUAGCAAGGAAACAAUUAUCAUGAUCCCAUAACGGGGCACCUUGGGAGAGGUGACCCGUAGAAUUAUUCCCUUAAGUUGCAAAAAGAAUUAAUUUUGAUACAAAGAUCAUUGGAACUCUUUAUACCAGCCAAAGGCAAUCACAAACGAUCGUUUGAAAGAGUUCGGAAGAAUGGCAUACUUAGACUAGAAUGGGUGAUAUGAACUACCUUGUUGCAGACUAUGCAAUGAGUGAUAUUUGCUUAUCAUGGAAAUGGAUGGGACCCAUGGUAGGAUCACUUUUGAAGAUGGUCUUGGACAACAACUUCUGAGAAGGGCAGCCCAUGGGAAAUUGGCACAAUGGCAGUGCAAGCUGGGAACAAAAUGCAACUGUUGGGAAUGUUCCAACCAUCAUAUCUGCCUAAGAAUUAGAUCCGAUUGGUGGUAGGAUACUUCAGACUCAGCAUGUCUGAAAAGAAAGUUUGCAACACAAACCGACGAGAUAACGUUGCGAGAUUCUCGGAAAAUGGACUGCGGUAGCAAGCUCCAAAACAUGAGUUGGUUCUGCUAUACACAUGUGAACACGUUUUCCUAGACAAGCAUGACCACGUGGUAGUCUUACAACGAGGAUAUCGAAGUCCUUGUAUACUUAUCGAUGAAAUUCUCAUCCUUGAACAGAUCAAUGAGUGGCUUGUGUGCUAGCAAUACAUAUGGAAUGAAGGUAGCUAAUCUCACAAACCAAAGUAUACUUCACACAUGCAUGACUAACUUGGGAUGAUUCCAGAGGAAGCAACAUUAACCUUCUCGAAUUCACGACGGCAACUUGCAUCAAAUGCACAUGUAUUAGAGGAAGUCACUUCUUUCUUCUGAACAUAUGCUUCAUGAAUGGGACAUGAUGACAAUGCUUAUAAAAGUUUCCAACACUAACUUAGAUGUUCAACAUAAAUCAUGGACAAGAUGAAAAUGUUGUCAAUAGGAUCAACAACAAUCCAUCCAGGCUUCCAUAUAGGUGGAAUUCCACAACUAUGUGAAGAAGGCGAUAGUAUUGGUCAGACCCAAAAGAUAUAACGGUGUACGCUCGAGGGACAACCGCGAGUAAGACAACAUUACGAAUAUCGUUGGUUCUGAUUUGAUUUGACGAUAGCCCACUCCCAAACCAAAGUUUUUGACAAGACAAUAGUUCCAACAACUAAUCACGAAGAUCAAUCGAUGAAAAUAUAAUCUUCCAUCAACACACACACAAAAGAUAUCCCUUGGAAUGAACUAAGUAAGGCAAAGCUUUUAUCUUCCAACUCUCCAAGUUGUUGUUUAGCUUGAACAAAUAGCCCAGGGGUAUCCCAAUCAGAUUCUUGGAGAGGGGUGGUUGUGGGAAACCCAACUUGAUCAUGAGCUCAACAUAACGGUCAGGGGACAACCUGAUGAUACUUAUGAGAAGAACUUCAGAAAAUCAUGAACCACCGAUAUGUUACUAAGCUCGAGAACAAUAUUGCUUUUCAGAGCAAGAUGAUAUGACAAAUAAGCAGGGGAUUGAAUAAUCCUAACUCAUUGAUCGAAGAGUGCACCAGAAAUAAGGACUAAGUAGCACAAUCUAUCUCAGAAUGAUGAUUCAAUAACCAACACGCCAAGAAUGAGAAUAUUGUCCAUUUACUACCAAGCAAAGAGUUUCUCGAAGUAUUGAUUUCACACAUCACAAUUCACUUGUUGGCAUUCCGGUUACAAUAACACGAGGACCGAGGAAUGAAUGAUGAUGGUGAGAAGUAUUACUGGAUCAAGAAUUCAUAAGAGAUGGUGCAAUUCCUAUGAUAUUCUUGACAUAAAUAGGGUAAUACUCCAAGGUAAAACAGAACAAGAGAUGGUUUGGCAUUUGAUCUGCGGAAUACAAAUACUUUGAUCCAAUCCUAGAAAUGGAUAAGGUACUAGAGUUUGUUUCUCCUAGUCCCUCUGGAGUAGAAUGGCUUGACAGACCAUUGGAAUAAUAGGCACCGAUGAACAUAAAUGCACAACUAUUCGUGACUAUCAAUUGAUAGACGGGGUCGUAAUACAUCUGUAGAGGGACAACUCAAAGGAACAUAUGAUUUUCUGAGUUAUGGAUGCAUAGAUUAGUAUGUCGAGCAAAUCUUAACAUUUCUUCCGGAUAACCUAUGUAGAAUGGUAGAACUGGCUGAUUCACAAUGUAGAAUGGACAACUCAUCAAGAGCACUCUGGUUGUGAUCAUUUGGUUUAGAAGAACUUUUGCCAUAAGCAGUACAUGGUAUUUGGAAGAAGGGAAUACCACGAACCUCGAGGACUAUCGCAAAGGUUACUAAUAUCCUAAAGGAACUAGCAAACACUAUCAACAUGAGUGAGUAGAGUGAAUCUCGGGUUCAAGAACCCAGGAAUGGAAUAUCUGCUAACUAAAUGGCAUCACGGGAUGCUUUCGAGAAUGAAGGCCAGAAUCAUCACACUAGGAACACAAAACAUGGCUAGAUUACUAGGUGACUCCCCAAGACACCAAGGGUCAUAAUAAUAGCUCCAAUAUAUAUGUCGAGGCAAUAGAGUACCUCAACUCAACAAUUAGUGUGGUUAAUCUGGCCCAAAGGAACAUUAGGAAUGGUAAGGGGGGAUUUGCAAAUGUAUCAGACUAUUUAGAAACCUGGGAUGACUCGGAUAGCAUAACAGCUGUAAUUGCUCAAAAGGAUUUGGGGCAUCCUGCAAAAUGGUGGCAUAACCACUUAACAUCACCAUAUCAAGGUUUCGAGACCAAUUGUUAACACAUGGAAGUACUAGAAACUGAGCUGAUACUUGAAUCCAUCAUACAUAUAAGUCUACAGAUUAGUAACACGUGAUCCCGAAAGAAAGAUGAGAAGCGUAGUUCUUAACCCCGUAGAAGAGAAGAGGAAGACUCAGAUCAGAUGGGCAUAAGGUAAAGGAGUAAAAAUAGCCUUACGUUCCCUUCCACAAUCAAUUCCCUUAUAUAACUAAAGCAUUUCUAGACUCAACUUUGACCAGUUUGGCUUCGUAAUCCUACAGGCAGUCAGGCUCUGAUACCAAAGCUGUCAGGACCCCGAUCCUAAGUCACACCGACCUAGCAUGUAACACAUCAUAUCACUUUGUGGCCUCACGCACGAUAUUCCCACGGGUGCCACCUUACCUGGCCCGAGACCGUUUGCGCCUUUUGGCUCACAUAUAUGAUAGUGUCGCUAGCAUCCAUAUGACAGAGAACCAGGACUGACAUGACUAGUCAUAAACCCAAAGUGGGACUAACUUAUAGGGACAUGCAUACAUGACCCAGCAACAAACGUGUUGGUCAUCAGUGAGUGAAUCCGGGCUGUAGCAGCUGGGCUAACCGGACUCUGGAGAAUCCGGGCUGUAGCAGGCUAACAGGACUCUGGUAGACACCACGUGACAUUUCCCUGAAGGGACAGACACAGGAACAAAGAAGGACACAUGCCGGCAAGCCUAAGUGUUCCGGAGAAGUAGCAAGCUACCAUGGCUGAGUGGAAGCACUAGGAGACAUUUCCUUGUAAGAGAGGCUACCAAGAAUAAACAACUAGGUUGUCGGAUCCUGCACAUACCAAGCAUUUCAUUAACAUACACACAAUAUGCUUGAUAUGUGCAAAUACAAGAUGGCAUCACAACAAAACUCUACGACUCAAAGUAUUUAUUCAUUAGGCUCUGAGGAGCCAGAUAUUACAAACAUGGGUCUGAUGACCGAGAAUUCAAGUCAUACAAGCAAUAAGCACAUGCAGAAGCUUAACUUGUUUGAGUAUAGACAACUACAAAUGAAAAAGGCUGAGGAGCCUGACUAUCCAAAAGACCUUGCCGAGGGCACAAGAUCGUACCUGAGGUAACAAGCUAAACAUCGAAGUCCAUGCGGAACUACUAGUGAGAUUCAAGUCUCUCUGCAAAAACAUAAAUUAAGCAAACGUGAGUACAAAUGUACCCAACAAGACUUACAUCAGAACUAGCUACAUAUGCAUCAGCAUCAACAAAAGGGGUGGUGGGUUUUAACUACAGCAAGACAGCUUUGACUCAGUGGCUAUCCUGAACUACGUCUGCAAGUAACUCUUUUGGGGUGGCGCACACGAGUCCACAUAUUCACCAAAUCAAUACACCACUGUGGAUCCGCUCCCAUCUCCGUACGAGAACUUCAUCCAUAACACUCACGCUUAUCUUGCGCAUUUUAGAGUAUCCACUUUCACUUGUCUAUGAACUGCACAAGGAACCCAGUAGUCCUUUACUGCGGACGUGGCUAUUCGAAUAGAUCAUGUUAACCCUGCAGGGGUGUACUUAUUCACACACGCUCUCGCCACUUACCACCAUGUACACGUCGUGUAUCUCCGCAACCUUCAAGUGGAAGCCUGGCGAGGGAGUCGUCCAUGACCUGACUAACCACACAAGUCUCUAGUCCAGGUUUAUCGCCUAUUUGGGUUCCAUCCGCAAGGAGAUCCGGACGGGGUUUCGCUCACGGCCCCAAAUGAUGAGAGCAGGGUUCCCGAGGCACCAAACGGGCGUCUCGGUACACCAUGCCUCAUGUCUCUACCGCAUCAUAGCCCACCCCUAGGGUCAUCACUACGCACGCCCCCCAACACAUAUCCUACAAACACCAGAAACUAGUUGCAACUCCUGGACAGAGAUCAAGGCAGUUAAUAAGUCAAGAAUUCUUGGAGUGCCCGGAGCCCAAUGUCUGGUAGUAACUGUCUUGGAUCACAGACACAGAACUCAGUUCCUGAGGACGGUUGCAAUGAGACAACCCACCAUGUACUCCUACAUGGCCUGUCAUCUCUACCUUUACCAAAUCGUGUUCUCACACUUAGCUCUCAACAGUAGGACAUGUUCAUCACCAUUCCAAUUCAUCCCCGAUGAAUCGGACCUGACUCAACUCUAAGUAGUAGCAAGCAUGACAAACAAGCAUGAAUGAGUAGGAACAUCAGGGCUCAAACAACUCCUACUCAUGCUAUUGGGUUUCAUCUACUUACUGUGGCAAUGACAUGUCAUGUAGGGGAAAAGGGGUUCAACUACCGCAGCAUGUAACAGUUGAAUCAUUGUUGUCCUAAUGCGGUAAAUGAGAGCAGGAGCACGAGAGUGGGAUUGUAUCGGAAUGACCAAGGGGGUUUUGCUUGCCUAGCACUUCUGAAGAUAGUAUAGGUGUUCAUCGGUAUCAUCGAUCACAUCGUCGAAACCACGUUUACUGAGAGGGGACAAAUACCGGCCAACAAGAACGAACACAUUCAAUGCAAUGCAAAAAUAUGAUGCAUGAAUAUGACAUGGCAAUAUGCUGUUGAUUGAGCUAAUGCAACUAGCAACAAGUUAAAUGAAGUUGGUUUGAACCCUAGUUUUAAAUUCAAACUCCAUAUGUGAACGUUUAAAUGCCCUUUAUAUGAUUUGUCCUAUACAGCAGCCAUAAGUUGUUCUAACAUGCAUGAAAAUGGUUCAGAUGGAUAGAUUGAAUUUUGCCGAUCAUUUUUCAUAUAUACAUGCAUGAAAAAGUUUCCAACACUAACUUAGAUGUUCAACAUGAAUCAUGGAUAGAAUGAAAAUGUUGUCAAUAGGCUCAACAACAAUCCAUCCAGGCUUCCAUAUAGGUGGAAUUCCACAACUAUGUGAACAAGGUGAUAGUAUUGGUCAGACCCAAAAGAUAUAAUGGUGUAUGCUUGAGGGACAACUGCGAGUAAGACAACAUUACGAACAUCGUUGGUUCUGAUUUGAUUUGAUGAUAGCCCACUCCCAAAACAAAGUUUUUGAUAAAACAAUAGUUCCAACAACUAAUCACGAAGAUCAAUCGAUGAGGGUAUAACCUUCCUUCAACACACAACACACACACAAAAGAUAUCCGUUGGAAUGAACUAAGUAAGGCAAAGCUUUUAUCUUCCAACUCUCCAAGUUGUUGUUUAGCUUGACCAACUAGCUUAGGGGUAUUCCAAACAGAUUCUUGGAGAGGGGUGAUUUAGGGAAACCCAACUUGAUCACGAUCUCAACGUAACAGUCAGGGGACAACCUGAUGAUACUUAUGAGAAGAUUUUCGGAAAAUCAUGAACCACUGAUAUGUUACUAAGCAGGAGAACAAUCUUUCUUUUCAGAGCAAGACGAUAUGAUCAAAUAAGCAAGAGAUUGAAUAAGCCUAACUCAUUGAUCGAGGAGUGCACCAGAAAUAAGGACUAGGUAGCAUAAUCUAUCUCAAAAUGAUGAUUCAAUAACCAACACGCUAAGAAUGAGAAUAUUGUCCAUUUACUACCAAGCAACGAGUUUCUCAGAGUAUUGAUGUUACACAUCACAAUUCACUUGACGGAAUUCCGGUUACAAUAACAUGAGGACCGAUGAAUAAAUGAUGAUGGUGAGAAGUAUCACUACAUCAAGAAUUCGUAAGAGAUGGUGCAAUUCGUAUGAUAUUCUUUACAUUUGAUCUGCGGAAUACAACUACUUUGAUCCAAUUCUAGAAAUGGAUAUUGUACUGGAGUUUGUUUCUCCUAGUCAUUCUGGAGUAGAAUGGCUUGACAGACCAUAGGAAUAAUAGGCACCGAUGAACAUGAAUGCACAACUAUUCAUGACUAUCAAUUGAUAGAUGGGGUCGAAAUACAUCUGUAGAGGGACAACUCAAAGGAACAUAUGUCGAGAAAAGCUUAACAUUUCAUUCGGACAACCCAUGCAGAAUGGUAUAACUGGUAGAUUCACAAUGUAGAAUGGAGAACUCAUCAAUAGCACUCUGGUUGUGAUCAUUUGGUUCAGAAGAACUUCUACCAUAAACAGUUCAUGGUAUUUGGAAGAAGGGAAUACCACGGACCUUGAGGACUAUCGCAAAGGUUACUAAUAUCCUAAUGGAACCAGCAAACACUAUCAACAUGAUUGAGUAGAGUGAAUCUCGGGUUGAAGAACCCAGGAAUGGAAUGUCUGCUAACUAAAUGGCAUCACAGGAUGGUUUCGAGAAUGAAGGCCAGAAUCAUCACACUAGGAACACAAAACAUGGCUAGAUUACUAGGUGACUCCCCAAGACACCUAGGGUCAUAAUAAUAGCUCCAACAUAUAUGUCGAGGCAAUAGAGUACCUCAACGCAACAAUUAGUGUGGUUAAUCUGGCCCAAAGGAACAUUAGGAAUGGUAAGGGGGUAUUUGUAAAUGUAUCCGACUAUUUAGAAACCUGGGAUGACUCAGAUAGCAUAAUAGCUGUAAUUGCUCAAAAUAUUUGGGACAUCCUGCAAAAUGGUGGCAUAAUGUGACGCCCCGAGACCGAUGCGCCAGGUGUCUUCCAGUUAUAUGUUGUUGUUGCCUUGUCAUUUGCUUGCGUGUUGCAUUUCAUCAUGUCAUCAUGUGCAUUGCAUCAUCAUGUUUUCAAAACAUGCAUCUGUCCCGGUCUCCUCGUUCUCUCAGUUGUCCAUUCUGAGCUCAACCACACUUGCACGCACCCGCGACACAUCUGAAAUAUUAUUUUAUAAGUGGCCGGAAGAUGUUCUCGGAAUGGGAUGAUAGUUGGCGUGUGGUCUUAUUAUAGUGUAGAUAGACCGCCUGUCAAGUUUCGUGCCAUUUGGAGUCCGUUUGAUACUCCAACGGUUAACCGGGGAACCAUAAAGGCCUCGUGUGUGUUGCAGCACAACAGCCCUCCCAAGUGGUCCACAACCCAUGCAAACCCCCUCCAUCCUCUCGGCCAUUAGAUCACGAUCAUGUGGGCGAAAACCGCACCUCAUUUGGACUCUCCUAGCUCCCUCUACCUAUAUAUAUGUGUGCCUCCCCGAAAUUUCGCGCAGAUGAAACCCUAACCUUCUUCGUCCUCGCGCCACUGGACGCGUCCGCGCUGCGCCGGACAUGUCCACCGCCGCCAGCCACCUCACUCCAUCCUAUCGCGUUGCGCCACGUCAUCAUCCCCGCCGCGCGCAGCCAAUCAGAGGCGGCCACACGCUUCUCUCUCUCNNNNNNNNNNNNNNNNNNNNNNNNNNNNNNNNNNNNNNNNNNNNNNNNNNNNNNNNNNNNNNNNNNNNNNNNNNNNNNNNNNNNNNNNNNNNNNNNNNNNNNNNNNNNNNNNNNNNNNNNNNNNNNNNNNNNNNNNNNNNNNNNNNNNNNNNNNNNNNNNNNNNNNNNNNNNNNNNNNNNNNNNNNNNNNNNNNNNNNNNNNNNNNNNNNNNNNNNNNNNNNNNNNNNNNNNNNNNNNNNNNNNNNNNNNNNNNNNNNNNNNNNNNNNNNNNNNNNNNNNNNNNNNNNNNNNNNNNNNNNNNNNNNNNNNNNNNNNNNNNNNNNNNNNNNNNNNNNNNNNNNNNNNNNNNNNNNNNNNNNNNNNNNNNNNNNNNNNNNNNNNNNNNNNNNNNNNNNNNNNNNNNNNNNNNNNNNNNCCGGCCUCGCGCCGCCCGAGUCGGCCGCCGGAUCCUCGCGCACGUGCCGCCUGUGCCGGAUCUCUCCGCCAGCGGCGUCCUCCUCCCUCACCAGCGUGCCACCUCGCCACCCGCAGCACCCUCCGCCGCCAUUGCCUGCGCGCCGCCGUCGCCGUAGUUGCCCCGCCGCCUCAUCCCUCGCCGGCGCCGCCCCUCCUCUGAUCCGUUUGGAUCGGGACGAGAUCCACCCGUCGCUGAUCCAAACGCCUUCGCCCGUCCCCGCGCCGCUCUAUCCCGAAUCGUCUCCGUCCACAUUUUCGUGGGGUAUAAUUUUCUCUAAGUCCCUAGUUCCAUACAUUUUCAGGCCCUGUUCAUCAUGCCAUAACUUUGUACUCGCUGCUUCGUUUUGCGUGCAUGAGAUAUCAAAAUGUUCAUCAUGAUGUCCUCUUUAUUUUGUUCCAUUGCACCAUGCUUGUUUGAGUACAUCUUGAUGCCCUAAUCGUUGAUGCAAGAGUGCUAUAAAAUGUUAGUUCCUGAUUCUUAUCAGAUUAUGAGCAUUUGUCAUUUUUGCCAUGAUUAUUGUGUUCUGCAUAUGGGCAUGAGCUCUACAUGUGUUUUGUUAUAUGCCAUGCUAUCUUACAGGGGUGUAUGCCAUGUAUUUUUGUGAUCAAUGUGGUGACUAGCACAAGCAUGCAAAGUAGCUCUCGUGAUGUUGCUGAUUUCAGAGACAUAGAAUUUCACUAAGUCAUUUCCCUGCUGUUAUUUUUAUGCCAUGUAUUCAUGUUGCUACAGAGUGAUUCAUGCUUCUUUUGAGUAUGUUCAGUAAGGCUGAUUUGGUUAUAUGGUUAUGCUCUAUCCAUACAUGCCCUUGUUUGCAUUUAUGGAGUGGCCUAGCAUGACUAAAUCUUGCUCUACUUUUGCUAUAAAAUGUUCCUGGCAGAUUGUUUAUGUGUUAAUCAAUUUUGCCAAGGUUGUUGUAGUUGAUCCAUGCAUGCUAUGAGAUGGUUCUUGCCAUGGUUAGCUUCUUGAACAUGUCUUCUUUCUGGUAGUAUGCCUAUUUUGUCAUGCAAUACCUUGUGUUGAGUGCAUCGAGCUCGCAAACAUGCCUUCAUAAUUAUGUUUAUGCCAUGUCCAGUUUUCUGCUAAUUCUGAAUCUGUUAACGAAACUUGCUAUAUUUACAUGCGUGCCAUCAUAUCUUCUGAUCCUUUUUGGCUUAUGGUUAGUAAGGGACUUUUGUUAUAUGCUUUGAUUAUAUUCAUGACAUGCAUUGCUUUGCUAUGUUCUUAUCCUGUAGCAUCUGUUUAUCUUGCUCUAAACAUUGCUUCCUGAUGUUAAUUCCUGGCAUGUUAGUAUUUUCACUAAGUCUGUGAUGUUGAUAUCUUUUGCACUUUUGCCAUGCUUGUUUGAACCUCCUCUUGUGUGAUUUAGUUGUAGCUCAGUGUUCAUAUUUUGUCAAGAAUCUUGAGUAGAUCACUUCCAUGUGCUUUGUUGCUAUGUUGGAGGGCAGUAGCUUAGUUUCUUGUUGCAUUCUAGAUGGCAUCGUGUUGUUAAUCGCAGAAUUGUACCAUUCUUGUUUUGCUUGCCAUUUGCAAACCGUGCAUCCGAUUCCGGUGAUCUUUAUAUCGAUUUCGACCGAAAUCAACUUAUCUUUCCGGCGGUGCACUUGGUUUGCCAAGUUGAGGCCUGGUUCAAUCAUUCCCUUGUGAAGCACACAUAUGCAUUGCAUAGCACAUCCCGCAUAUCAUGUCAUGUUUUGCAUCAUGUUGCUUGCGCAUUGCACCGUGGUUGAUUUUCGUUUCCUUUGCUCGUGUUCUUGCUUUGGGUAGAGCCGAGAGAUGAGUUCGCGAUCGAGGAACCCAUUGAGUACGCUUAAGAGGUUCAAGCUUACGUCAACUCGGAGAACUUUGCAGGCAAGAUGACCAUACCCUCGAAAUCACUUCUAUCUUUGCUUGCUAGUUGCUCGCUCUACUGCUAUGCCGCGAUACCUACCACUUGGUAUAUCAUGCCUCCCAUAUUGCCAUGUCAAGCCUUUAACCCACCUUGUCCUAGCAAACCAUUGUUUGGCUAUGUUUUCCGCUUUGCUCAGCCCCACUUAUAGUGUUGCUAGUUGCAGGUGAAGAUGGAGUUUGUUCCUUAUUGGAACAUGUUUAUGGCUGGGAUAUCAUUAUUAUAUCUUGUUUACUUUAAUGCGCCUAUAUACUUGGUAAAGGGUGGAAGGCUCGACCUUAUGCCUAGUGUUUUGUUCCACUCUUGCCGCCUUAGUUUCCGUCAUACCGGUGUUAUGUUCCUUGAUUUUGCGUUCCUUACGUGGUUGGGUUAUAAUGGGAACCCCUUGACAGUUCGCCUUGAAUAAAACUCCUCUAGCAAGGCCCAACCUUGGUUUUACCAUUUUCCACCUAAGCCUUUUUCCCUUGGGUUCUACAGACUCAAGGGUCAUCUUUAUUUUAAACCCCCGGGCUAGUGCUCCUCUGAGUGUUGGUCCAACCUGUCAGCCGCCGGUGGCCACCAGGGGCAACUCUGGGCUGGCCUACCAGAAGUUUGGACAAUCUGGUGUGCCCUGAGAACGAGAUAUGUGCAGCUCCUAUCGGGAUUUGUCGGCACAUUCGGGUGGCUUUGCUGGUCUUGUUUUACCAUUGUCGAAAUGUCUUGUAACCGGGAUUCCGAGUCUGAUCGGGUCUUCUUGGGAGAAGGAAUAUCCUUCGUUGACCGUGAGAGCUUGUGAUGGGCUAAGUUGGGACACCCCUACAGGGUUUUGAACUUCUGAAAGCCGUGCCCGCGGUUAUGGGCAGAUGGGAAUUUAUUAAUAUCCGGUUGUAGAAAACCUGAUACUUCACUUAAUUAAAAUGCAUCAACCAUGUGUGUAGCCAUGACGGUCUCUUCUCGGCAGGGUCCGUGAAGUGAACACGGUUUUGGAGUUAUGCUUGAACGUAAGUAGUUUCAGGAUCACUUCUUGAUCACUUCGAGUUCAUGACCGUUGCAUUGCUUCUCUUCUCGCUCUCAUUUGCGUAACUUAGCCACAUAUAUGCUAGUGCUUGCUGCAGCUCCACCUCACUACCCUUCUCCUACCCAUAAGCUUAAAUAGUCUUGAUCGCGAGGGUGUGAGAUUGCUGAGUCCCCGUGACUCACAGAUUACUUCCAAAACCAGCUUGCAGGUGCCGAUGAUACUAGUGCAGAUGAUGCAGCUGAGCUCAAGUGGGAGCUCGAUGAAGAUCGUGUUCGUUGUGUUGUUUCGUUUCAUUUCAAUCAGUAGUGGAGCCCAGUCGAGGCGAUCAGGGAUCUAGCAUUAGGGGUGGUCUUCUUUUAUUUUGGUUCCAUAGUCGGACCUUGAUUGUAUUCUGGAUGAUGUAAUGCUAUAUUUAUGUAUUGUGUGAUGUGGCGAUUGUAAGCCAACUCUUUAUCCCUUUCAUAUUCAGUACAUGGGAUGUGUAAAGAUUACCCCUCUUGCGACAUGCCUACGAUGCGGUUAUGCCUCUAAGUCGUGCUCCAACACAUGGGAGAUAUAGCCGCAUCGUGGGUGUUACACAUAACCACUUAACAUCACCAUAUCAAGGUUCCGAGACCAAUUGUUAACACAUGGAAGUACUAGAAACCGAGCUGAUACUAGAUUCCAUCAUUCCUAUAAGUCUACAGAUUAGUAACACGUGAUCCUGAAAGAAAGAUGAGAACCUAGUUCUUAACCCCGUAGAAGAGAAGAGAAAGACUCAGAUCAGAAGGGCAUAAGAUAAAGGGGUAAAAAGAGCCUUACGUUCCCUUCCACAAUCAAUUCCUUAUAUAACUAAAGCAUUUCUAGACUAUCUUGGCGUCGAUGAGGGGAGCGCCUUCCGAAGACAAGGAGAUCCUGAAGCGCGAGGAGGUACUGGCGCUGGAGGCCUUGGAGCGCAGCCUAGAACAUGAGCGACUGGAGACGAGGGAGCGCCAUGUGGCCGUGGCCCAAGAUGCCAUCACCGCCCGCGAAGCCAAAGUCUAGUAGGAGGUCGACCGGAGGGUAGCGAAGGCUUGUGUAGAUCUUGACAACGAGUACAACCUAAAGCUGAAGUUCCAGGAGGCCGAAGCUGAGGGCAGGACCACCGUCCUCAGGUCGAGGCUGGACGAAGCGGAACAGCGCGAGAGGACCGCUGUGGCGGCCUAGACCUCUGCCCAGGUCGCCUUGACCCCCACGCGUCCAGAUCUGCUCUCGCUUCAGCAGAAGAUUGAUGAAGCCGCGUCCCUCGCGUAGCAGAACGGGGAGGAGGCGUGCCGUCAGCAGACGCUGCAGUGCAAAUACGCCCCCAUGCUCCAGACCCUCAGAGUGACGGCCAACCGAGCACUAGGCAUCAUCUACGAGGAGAGUGUCCCUCAUCCCCACGCGGAAGACUACGCCAGCCACCUCCACUUCUUUACCGAAGUCGUGAUGCGCCUGGAGGACCGAGCUGCGUGGGCUCACGAGCUUGUUGAGGAGAGGAGCUGGGGUCUCCUUGGGCGCGCGUUCUCACGCAUCUUCAGCCAUCUCUAGAACCUCGAUCCCUGCUUUGACUUUGACGCUGCCAUCGCCCCGGUGCCCGUGGCCAUCCGGGACAACCUGUUACACUUGGUGGACAAUCACGUGGAUGCCCUGGUCAGGGCGUUCGCCACCGAGGAUGAGGCGGUGGUAGUCGUGGUGGAUGGAGAUGGCGCAGUCGACGACAGUGAAGACGACGCUAGUGACAGUGCCAGCAGUGUGUACGAGAGCGACCAGGACGAUGCUGCAAGUGGCAUGUCCAAUUGUGCCUAUAUUCCCUUGCCCGAACCUGCACGCAGAGACUUGGACACAGCCCUGCCGGGCAUGAGAGCAUUUUGGAGGGGGAGCCCCUCGUGUAUGUAAAUUGAUGUUCCGUUCUUCUUCUUGCUUUAGAGUCGACCCUGAAACGUGCUCUCGCGACCUCGCGAGCCCCUGGGUAGGGUCGUCGUUGUGUCUUAACUUCAUUCUAGCUGGCCUUGAGCGGUUCAUGAGGUUGUUGGCGCGCCUUUCUCCUGAGGCAAAGCACUAGGGGCUCGUGGGCCCUAGGUCUCCUGAGGAUCCUGCGGAUCUGUCCGAGAGAGCCACGCCAGGAGCAUCCUACAGACCGUGCUAGGAUGCGUAUGUUCCAAUCUUGCGGCGCGUACGCUCUUGCCCCGAGGGGUUCCUACCAAGGUUGUCCAGGCAUGCCUGGUGCGGUCGGCCAGCCAACCCCCGAGCCGGAUGAUCGUGGCGCGGCCCUUAAAAAUAGGGCACACAACCAAAAUGCAAGAAAUCGACACAAAGAAGAGAAGACUCCCCCACGCUUAACGAUGAAAAAGACUUCAAGUUCAAUCCAAAAAUAGUGGCGAAACGAGUUACAAAAAAGGGGAGGAAAGCAAAAGGCCACAUCCGGCACCUAGCUAGUCUUCUUGUCUUCCACCAGCGCAGAGCUGAGUGCUUUCACUGGCUAUGAGCAUAGUCAUUGGGGGACAGUUUUGAUGGCCAGCGCGGAGCAUGGUGCUUGCACUAGGAUGUGGGCGGGAGCCCCUGAGGCAUGGGGCGGCACUCCGGAGACUCUGGGGCAUGUAUAGCCCCACUCAUUAUUACGUGAGAGUGUCACGAGCAGAGACCUUCACAGGCAUGAGCCUUGCUUCAUAUUGCCAGAUGAGGGCCCCGCCCUGCACCACCCCCGACCACCGAUGGGGCAUCCAGAAACCAGGACGAGGUCAAGGGUCAAGGGGGACGCUGGCGGUGCCCUCCGCGACCACGUGCCAUCUGCCGGGGGAAGGGCUCGCCUGCGCCUCCCCCGACAGAGGACCUACCUCCGUGCAACGCCUUGCUGCAUGCAGCAUGGGGGAGGUCCUGGCUAUAGGCCCCUCCCACGUCGCCCCUAGUGCACCACCCACGUCGGAGGCGGAGCCACCUCCUUGGGGUCUACGACUGCUGCUGCUUGUCUGGUUCACCUGCAGCCCAUGGUUAGCGUAAACUUGCUCUCGAGAUAUUGGCUGUACCCCGCCGUCAUCGUUGCUGAAGGGGUCGGCGAAGCCUCCUGACGACUCAUAGAAGGUCCCGGUCUCAAGCACUCUGCCUUCCAAUCCUGGCUCGGGGAACGAGUUGGCGCCCUCUCCUGGCGUGUACUCCAGGUUCACCAUGUGGGGAACGUAGGCGUCUUCGGUCGCCCCGCCAGAGCCAUAGCCUGGAUGCCCCACGCCUUGAGCCACGAGCUAAAGCGCCUGGCCGUGGUAGCCACUGGGUGGCACUCCAGUGCACCCUCUGGGUGAUCCGUCAGCGCUUGUCCCUCCUGGCGACAGAGCCGUCGCGGCAGGACGUGUCGCGCCUGGGCCCAUGUUGGCGUUGUCGGGUCCCCCUGGUGCUCCAGGAGGCACGCGAGCUCAUCGGGGUCACGCGCAUGACUCUGCCACGACCUGAGGCAUGGGUAAGGAGCAGAAGGGUGGUGCACCUCUGUAGGCAGCGUCUAGAAGUUCGGCGACGCGCUCCAGUAGUGCAUCACGGCCGCUCUCCGCCAGCCUUCAUCGGAGUAGCUGUCGCGCCAUGAUGAGCGCGGGUCGCAUGUUCGCCUUCUCCUGUCAGGUGUGCGGUGCCGUUUCCGCAGCAUAGCCUGACGAUCGCGUGGUGGCUCGCAUGCGCCGCGGCGCGAGGGCGGAGGGCGUCGGUCCAUGUCGCCCGCGUCCGGCGGUGCCCGGUGGCGUGCGGGCCGCCUAGAGUUCGGAGUUGAGAUUUUCUUGGGCGGACGGCGCCACCCGAACAGGCCAAGCAUCCUAGUGGUCGGUGUGGGUUCUCGGGUCGUCCGUCAUCAGAACCGCGGGGUGUCAACUGGUCGAUUGACGGAAGAGGGGCGUCGGCGCACCCCUACUUGGCGCGCCAAAUUUCGGAUUACGGGUUCCGGGAAACACUUGUGAGGUUCGAACUCUGGGGUGCGAACGAAGAACACUCUCUUCCUCACUCGCUUGCUCAACGAUUCCACGGCCUAGCUUGAUGGACCUAAAGAACAAGAGACAUGAGGGUUUAUACUGGUUCGGGCCACCUUGCACUACAAAAAAAUACACUUCCGUGAUGAUACGUGUUUGUCACAGUAGGUCACAUUUUUUGUCAUACAUGUACAUCCAUGACAAAUUUAUGACAGAAUCGAGAUAGUCAUACAUGUGUUGUCGUAGAAGUGUUCCAUGACAUUACCAAAAUUAUCAUCACGGAAGUGUCCACUUCCAUGACGACAAAUCGCGCGUCACAGAAGUGCUUUCGUCAAGGGUGACCGACACGUGGCAUCCACCGAAACGGAACGCCGUUAAGCUAUCGGGUCCGGUUUUGGAUCCGAUAACCCGUUAACAGCCCCAACCAAUGGGGAUUUUUCACGUGUAAAAUCAUCAUUGGCUGGAGGAAACACUUGUCGGCUCACCGUUGGGACAGAUGUCAUCCACUCAUUGGACCCAAAGCGCCUAUGAUAUGUCGACACGUGGCACGACACAACAGAGGCCCAUUCCUGUGAAAAGGUCGACCUGUUUGACUUGGUCAAAAGGUGGCGGGCCGGCCCACGACAAGCCUGUUAAUGGCAUGUUCGCAUAUAGCCCAUUUACAGCCCGCUAACCCAGGGCCUAUUUACGGCCUACCUGAAUUAGGCCCAGUAGCGUCAUUUGGGCCGUCCAAUAUAAUUCCAGCCCGUUUUAACUUCCAGCCCAUGUAUGGCCCAUGACAUCUUUCGGCCCAUAUGAGACUCUAAUUACUCUCGGCCCAUUAACGGCCUGUGGUAAAACUGGCCCGUAAUGAACAGUGUAUCACUUUAUACCCAUUAACGGCACGUGGUGAAACUGGCACGUAAUGAAUAGUGUAUCACUUUAUGGCCAUUAACGACCCAUUAUUCCGUUGGGCCGUUUCCAGCCCAUGUUAUCUUUCGGCCUUCUCGAGGCCCAUUUAUUCUUGGGCUCAUUUCCACAUUCGUUUACUUACGGCCCAUUACUGUCAUUUUCUGCUUGUGGGCUAAAUUCAGCCCGUGGUUACAGUCGGCCUGUUUGUGGCCCGCUAAUACUUUGGGCCAUUUUCACAGCAUCAUCAAAAUACGGCCAAUUAACGACGGCCCGUUAUGGUCGGCCCAUGAACGAUUUAAACUCUAGCCCAUUUACGGCCAUAAUGUGGUCUGUUAUUGGUCCAUGUUUGGCCAACCGAUCAUACGGCCCGUAGAAGGCCCAUUGAUGAUAGGGCCCAUAGAAGGCCCAUUGUGUCUACGACCAUUAUAAGGCCCAUUGUUUCUAUGCCACAUAGAAGGCCCAUUGUUUCUAAAGCCCUUAGAAGGCCCAUUGUUUCUAUGGCCCGUAGGAGGCCCAUGUUAACUAUAGCCGGUGGGCAUCAAAGUUCGCCACUAGUGCAAAUACAGGGAACACCCUACACUAUACAAAAAUGGCUUGCUAUUUUCUUCAGCCGGUGGCUGCACGUUAAGAACAAAUUUUGUAUCGCACCAAAUCAAAUUACAACUAUAAAACAAAAGGAAGGUUGGCAUAAAAGUUAACAGUCUAGUAGAUAAAUGCACCACCAGAAGUUCACAAGCUCAGUUCAUUUGACCUGACUGUUACACUUUCAUGCUGUAUUGUCCGAUGGAGCACCAUAACCUUCACCUUCAGUUCUCCUAGGCUCCUGAACAACAUAGCAAAUGUCUGAUAGUCUGGUUUCAAAACCAUGCAUAUCUUGACAACAUCGAAUAAUGUCUCUCCUUGUUUCACAAAGGGUCUUUGUUAGGGAAUGGACUUGUGUCUGGAGCGCAGAUACAACAUUGUUUUGAGCUUGCGUAUCUUAAUCAUGAGGCAGUUUGGAUGAGAUUGCCUUAACAACCAAGCCAGUGUUACGCAGGAAUGUGCUUUUGGCACUGUUAGUGGAUAGGUACUGACCCACUGCAGCAAGAGCUGACAUUGCGGCUAUAGUUGCCUCGCCACCUUCAGAAGGUGGCGGUUCCACCAUUUUUUCCAUAGCUCGCUGAAAAGUUGUGGUUUUACAUUAGUAGUACCAGAACAGAAGAUAUUAAGGAGGUAGCAAAACCAAACAAAAUAGCUUUGGUCUAUAUACAGAACUUAUUCUGGUGGACCCAUGUAAAAUAAUAGUUGUAUUUUAUUGCAAAGUACAUAAUAAAACCAGGUUCCAAACAUAUGACCAUGUACCAUCGCUAAUGUAUUGUCUAUUUCCUCACAUUGUGUUGAGGGCUAAGGAUAAAGAGAUGAAGUUUAUAAUACGGUAAGCAUAGUAUGACAUCAUUCAUAUCACAAAACAACUGAGAACAGACAAACAGGCAAUUGUAACGUUGUGUGGGCAAGUCCAGCACGGAACUAAAUUACAGGUCAAGAUCAAAGGAACAUCACUCCUCUCUUUUAAACCUUGUAAGGUGCAAUGAUACGCUAAGACAAUUGUGUAUAAAACUAAAAAGAGUAAUAGACAUUGGCUGCAAACCGUGCAGUUCAAGGCACAAGUCAGAGUAAGUAGUAGUUAAAAGGCAUGUGGAUUAAGGACUUACACCAACGGCUUUGACUGGUGUAGUCAUGCCCUUCUUCUUGCCGGUGUGACAGUCCUUGAAGAUUUCCAUAGUAUUUGGUUCAUGUACUUUUUGGCCCUUGCGAGCUUUCCUCUGCAUUUGGAACAAGUCAAUAUAGCUCUGAUAAUAUGGUACAGCGAAAAGAGUGAAAUAGCAACUAAUUACAAGAGCCUCGCAGUGUGCAAUAUAGCUACAAGAUCAUGUCGUCUGUUGGAAUUUCACUUUCGUAUGGUUGGCCUUAUUCUUUGAACAGUUCACCUACAGAUUUGUGUGGCACAUGUGUAAAUAGGACAUCAACAUGUGAUCUGAUCACAUAUAUAUAAUGUACCUGAUACUUCAAAUCGGACCAGUGUUUAACGAGGCCUAUCCAGUCUUCAUCAAAUAUAUUUUCCACUGGAGAUGUUUGGGCAAGUUCACUGUUAGCCUUCCCUUCAAAGUAAGUUUUCCUCAAGUUAUACUGAUACUGUCCCAGAGCAGACUUGAAAACAUGGGUGCAAGCUUGUCUAGUUGCAUCAUCUUGCCUAUCCAACUUGAACCUCAUCUAUUGAAAAUUAUGUUAGUCUCAUUAUCAGCAACCUAGAAAGUAUUGGACAGAGCAAGACGAUAUUAUUAGUUUCCAUACAUAACCAUACUUAUAGAUAAAUGGUCGACGAAGGUGUUGAACUGGGUUUUGUCUUUGUCAUUCCUGUACUGAAUCCAUGUUGGGAGGAUACGGACAUGACACCUAACAGUAACCGCUGCCUCUGAUACUAACUUGGCUGACUCUAUAGCAUCACGUGGCCUUUUUAAACCUGCCACAAAACGGAUCUCCAUUCUUCCUCCUCUAGAUUUAGUUAACCUAUCAAGUAUUAUACCUUAUGUUUGUUUCCUCUUGCGCCUAGGUGCUAGUCCAACAACAAACAUAGGAAGUGUUACUAUACAUCAAACUGUGAGACUAAAUAUAAAGAAGCAUGCAACUGUAACUUGACUCUAGCAACUACCUUCUUUCCGUUGAAGCUCACAAAGUUUAUCUGAUCUUGCCAACUCAUCUUGUGUCAAGAGUGCUUCGGGAGUAGUGUCAGGUGGCAAGGGAGCUUGGGAACGUGCUGCUAGCUGAGUUGACCAACGAGUAAAUCGUGCAGCUGGUGGUAUUGUGGAAGGUGUUGCAACAACUAGGGUUGUCUCUGCUUGUUUGGUGGCAGCUAUUUGUUUCUGUUUUGGCUUGUUCUGCAGAUCGUGUAGCACGGGAUACCCUAUCGGUACAUUUUUCUGCUGGACUUUGACCUUCUAUUGCACCAUCAGUACCAGCAGAAUCUACAGGAUUGUUUCGCUUCCCUUUCCCUAUUGUUCUGUCUUGCUUCUCUUUCUCUGAGCCAUGUUAAGUCAAGCCGACAAGAAAAACGAAUAACAAUUUAGUUCUUCAGAACAAAUGUACUUUGAUGUAAGAACAUGGUGUGAUAGACAGAUAUUGUAUGUUCUAGAAACAGGAACGCGUGUCUUCGUCGCAAGUAUAAUGUGUAAAGUAAGUAGAUGAAAUUCAACAAAAUUAGAAGCAAUACAAGCUAGACAUCAUACAUAACAUGCAACCACAUAUAACAGUGCCAAGUAAGAGGGAGCACGUGUGAUGGUGCACUAGGGGAGACGUGCUCCUCACCAACACAGCUACGUUGAGUGCCUAUGCAUGUGUUGUCUUGGAAAUCAUCUUGGGGGAAUGGAGGAGUAGAAUCUAUAGAGGCCCUCCAUUUGGAAGGAUCACCUUCAUCUGCUGCCUUGCUAACUUUGUUCCUCUUUAUUGAUUUUGAAUUGUCAAGUAAAACCGACAAGAAAAAGCAAUAAAAUUCACUCUUCAGAACUCAUUCGUGCAUGAUACUGACAACCACUACUUUGAUGUAACGCAAACACAUGAUUCCAGGAUGGAACAAUAUGAAAAACAGGACGGCAUGGCAUAUUCACAAAUGUUUGUGUAAACUAAGUAGAAACCAUUUCACCAAAUAAGAAGCAAUGCAAGCUAGACACCACGUGAAAGAUGCAACCAAUAUGACUCUGCCAAGUUAAAAGUGUCCCAUCAUAAAUGGCAUUUCAACAAAUUAGAAGCAGCGCAUGCUAUAAAUCAUAUCAAAGAUGCAACCAAUAUCACACUGCAUAUACUGAAGGUGUCUCGUCAUAUUGAUUUAUGCGGGAUACAAAAAAAUAAUAGUAUUAUUUGAGGACAUGCUUAAUAGACAGAUGUACUAUGUACUAAAUACAGGAAGGCAUGUCACAUUAAUAGGUAUAAUGUAUAAGCUAAGCAGAAUAGCACAUGCAGUUUAACCAGAUUGGAAGAAUUACAAUCUAGACACCAUAUGCAACAUGCAACCACAUAUCACGCUGCCAAGUUAGAGCAACCACCUGUGAUGCUAGUGUAGGGGAAAUGCGGUAAUCAACUACAGAGCUACACUCACUAUCUUCAUCUAGCCUUGCUGUUUCUUGAGAAUCAUGUCGGGAGGCCGACGCUGCAUUCUUCAAAUGAGGAGUAAUCCACUUGCCUAACUGCCUCAUCAUAAGUGAUUGAUGAGGGAUACACAAGAACAUUAGUUUGAUGAACAUGGUUAAUACACAGAUGUACUAGUAUGUAGCAAAACAGAAAGGCAUGUCAUAUUUAAAGGUAUAAUGUGUAAGGUAAGCAGAUGCAAUUUAAGAAAAUUGGAAGCAAUACAAGCUAGACAUCCGGCUGGAGUGGUGAGCAUGAUCAUCUAGGACCUGAGAGCCUGGUUGGAGGCGGGCUGCUUCGCCACCAUCGCGGCUUUUUAGUUGGCUUCUAGGUGAUGCCUCUCCUUACUGGGCUUGUCACUGGCUCGGCCAGUGCCCUGACUAGCUAUUUGUCUUUUGGUGCUCACGGGAUGGUGGUUCAUGUAAAAAAUAUCUUUCCUUAUCUUAAUAAAGACCGACUUCGGCCUUCCAAAUACAAGCUAGACACCAUAUGGAACAUGCAACCACAUAUGACAACGCGAAGUUAAAGCAAGCACCUGGGAUGGUGGUUCAUUGCGAGCGAGGUCAUCAACUCCAGAGAUGCGUUUACCGUCUCCAUCUACUGACACUGCACCUAUUAUAAGGCUGAAACAUGUCUGGCCUAUCCGCGUACGACGCUGGAGCGACUUCUCUCUUUUCUUUUUUGCUUCUCUCAUAGCAGCAGAGUCUGAAAAUACCCUUGCAUAAAAACACAAUAGUGAGAGUAUGGGUGAAGUGUGUGCAGAGCUAGUGCACUGUAAAAGUAGCAAAUAGCAGGUGGCUGAAAAAUAAAUGAUAGGAGACAUAUGAUAGCUCUACAGCAUUGCAUGGCAAACAAAAAUAGAUUCUACUCCGUAUGAUUUUGUAAUAUAUGAGCACAAGAAAUGCAGGUACUCCUCCAGCACACCACCACAUGUGGUCUUAUCAAGAUAACAGUCGAGUGAAAAUAAAUAGGUCAGUCAAUUUUUUUAAUGAACCGUCCGAUCUAUAAGGAACGGGCAGAUGGCCUUCGUCUACCUCCCGCCAGUCACUGUUGACGAUCUUUCUCGAACCGCCAGCGACCACCGGCCUAGACCCCUGCCUCCGCCGCCCCGCCCUCCCCCUCGACCUCACACCACCGCCGUGCUUGGCAGCGCCCCCAGGCCAUACCGUUAAUCCCCGCCGACCUCCAGAUCGGGCGCCAGUAGCUCUAGGCCCCACACGCCCCUAAGAUAAACACUGAGGCGCUGCUUCCCUGGCGUAAUAGUCGGACUAGUGCCUAUUACGCCGGGGAAUGCUUCCGUUAAUUGGGAGUCAACUGACCAUGAAUUCAAAUUCAGGGGGCGACGGACCUCUAGCUAAGGUGAAAUAGUAUAUGAGGAGAAACCUUGUGCAUCGCGAGUUACUAGGAACAUCUAGUGUCUUCUGUGGGAUGAAUACCGUGCAAGCAGACACGUAAGAUUUGCACGAAUAAGGGAAGAGGAGUACCAUUUUCGGUUGCCUGUGUGGUUGUGAUGUCUACUACACAACCUUCUUCUUGUAGACGUUGUUGGGCCUCCAAGUGCAGGGGUUUGUAGGGCAGUAGCAAAUUUCCCUCAAGUGGAUGAUCUAAGGUUUAUCAAUCCGUAGGAGGCGUAGGAUGAAGGUGGUCUAUCUCAAGCAACCCUGCAACCAAAUAACAAAGAGUCUCUUGUGUCCCCAACACACCCAAUACAAUGGUAAAUUGUAUAGGUGCACUAGUUCGGCAAAGAGAUGGUGAUACAAGGGGUAUAUGGAUAGUAGAUAAAGGUAUUUGUAAUCUGAAAUUAUAAAAACGGCAAGGUAGCAAGUGAUAAAAGUGAGCGUAAACGGUAUUGCAAUGUGUGGAAACAAGGCCUAGGGUUCAUACUUUCGCUAGUGUAAGUUCCCUCAACAAUACUAACAUAAUUGGAUCACAUAACUAUCCCUCAACAUGCAACAAAGAGUCACUCCAAAGUCACUAAUAGCGGAGAAUGAAUGAAGAGAUUAUGGUAGGGUACGAAACCACCUCAAAGUUAUUCUUUCCAAUCAAUCCGUUGGGCUAUUCCUAUAAGUGUCACAAACAGCCCUAGAGUUCGUACUAGAAUAACACCUUAAGACACAAAUCAACCAAAACCCUAAUGUCACCUAGAUACUCCAAUGUCACCUCAAGUAUCCGUGGGUAUGAUUAUACGAUAUGCAUCACACAAUCUCAGAUUCAUCUAUUCAACCAACACAAAGGACCUCAAAGAGUGCCCCAAAGUUCUACCGGAGAAUCACGACGAAAACGUGUGCCAACCCCUAUGCAUAGGUUCAUGGGCAGAACCCGCAAGUUGAUCACCAAAACAUACAUCAAGUGAAUCACGUGGUAUCCCAUUGUCAGCACAGAUACGCACGGCAAGACAUACAUCAAGUGUUCUCAAAUCUUUAAAGACUCAAUCCGAUAACAUAACUCCAAAGGGGAAACUCAAUUCAUUACAAGAGAGUAGAGGGGGAGGAGAAACAUAAAAUCCAACUAUAAUAGCAAAGCUCGCGAUACAUCAAGAUUGUAUCACCUCAAGAACACGAGUGAGAGAGAUCAAACACAUAGCUACUGGUACAUACCCUCAGCCCCGAGGGAGAACUACUCCCUCCUCGUCAUGGAGAGCACCGGGAUGAUGAAGAUGGCCACCGGAGAGGGAUUACCCACUCCGGCAGGGUGCCGGAACGGGUCUAGAUUGGUUUUCGGUGGCUACGGAGGCUUCUGGCGGCGGAACUCCCGAUCUAUUGUGCUCACAGAUGUUUUUAGGGUAUAUGGAGAUAUAGAGGCGGAAGAAGUACGUCAGGGGGGCCACGAGGGGCUCACGAGGGUGGAGGGUGCGCCCAGGGGGGGUGGGCGCGCCCCCCUGCCUCGUGACCUCCUCGUAGGUUCCGCGACGUGCACUCCAAGUCUUCUGGGCUUCUUUCCUUCGAAAAGUGAGUUCCAUGAAGUUUCAGGUCAAUUGGACUCCGUUUGAUUUUCCUUUUCUUCGAAACCCUAAAACUAGGUAAAAACAGAAACUGGCACUGGGCUCUGGGUUAAUAGGUUAGUCCAAAAAAUGAUAUAAAAGUGUAUAAUAAAGCCCAUAAACAUUCAAAACAGUAGAUAAUAUAGAAUGGAGCAAUCAAAACUUAUAGGUACGUUGGAGACGUAUCAGCAUCCCCAAGCUUAAUUCCUGCUCGUCCUCGAGUAGGUAAAUGAUAAAAACAGAAUUUUUGAUGCCGAGUGCUACUUGCCAUAAUUUCAAUGUAAUUCUUCUUAAUUGUGGCAUGAAUAUCCAGAUCCAUAAGAUUCAAGACAAAAGUUCAUAUUGACAUAAAAAUAAUAAUACUUCAAGCAUACUAACUAAGCAAUUAUGUCUCUUCAUAAUAACAUGGCCAAAGAAAGUUAUCCCUACAAAAUCAUAUAGUCUGGCUAUGCUCUAUCUUCACCACACAAAGUAUUAAAUAAUGUACAACCCCGAUGACAAGCCAAGCAAUUGUUUCAUACUUUUGAUGUUCUCAAACUUUUUCAAUCUUCACGCAAUAUAUGAGCGUGAGCCAUGGACAUAGCACUAUAGGUGGAAUAGAAUGGUGGUUGUGGAGAAGACAAAAAAGGAGAAGAUAGUCUCACAUCAACUAGGCGUAUCAAUGGGCUAUGGAGAUGCCCAUCAAUAGAUAUCAAUGUGAGUGAGUAGGGAUUGCCAUGCAACGGAUGCACUACAGCUAUAAAUGUAUGAAAGCUCAACAAAAGAAACUAGUGAGUGUGCAUCCAACUCGCUUGCUCACGAAGACCUAGGGCAUUUUGAGGAAGCCCAUCAUUGUAAUAUACAAGCCAAGUUCUAUAAUGAAAGAUUCCCACUAGUAUAUGAAAGUGACAACAUAGGAGACUCUCUAUCAUGAAGAUCAUGGUGCUACUUUGAAGCACAAGAGUGGUAAAAGGAUAGUAGCAUUGCCCCUUCUCUCUUUUUCUCUCAUUUUUUUAUUUUUUUAUUUUUUAUUUGGGCCUUCUCUUUUUUUUAUGGUCUCUUUUUUAUAUUUGGGCUUCUUUGGCCUCUUUUCUUUCCCUUUUUUAUUUGGGCUUCUUUGGCCUCUUUUAUUUAUUUUUCGUCUGGAGUCUCAUCCCGACUUGUGGGGGAAUCAUAGUCUCCAUCAUCCUUUCCUCACUAGGACAAUGCUCUAACAAUGAUGAUCAUCACACUUUUAUUUUUCUUACAACUCAAGAAUUACAAAUCGAUACUUAGAAAAAGAUAUGACUCUAUAUGAAUGCCUCCGGUGGUGUACCGGGAUGUGCAAUGAUGCAUGAGUGACAUGUAUGAAAGAAUUAUGAACGGUGGCCUUGCCACAAAUACGAUGUCAACUACAUGAUCAUGCAAAGCAAUAUGACAAUGAUGAAGCGUGUCAUAAUAAUGGAAUGGUGGAAAGUUGCAUGGCAAUAUAUCUCGGAAUGGCUAUGGAAAUGCCAUAAUAGGUAGGUAUGGUGGCUGUUUUGAGGAAGGUGUAUGGUGGGUUUAUGUACCGGCGAAAGUUGCGCGGUACUAGAGAGGCUAGCAAUGGUGGAAGGGUGAGAGUGCGUAUAAUCCAUGGACUCAACAUUAGUCAUAAAGAACUCACAUACUUAUUGCAAAAAUAUAUUAGUUAUCGAAACAAAGUACUACGCGCAUGCUCCUAGGGGGAUAGAUUGGUAGGAAAAUACCAUCGCUCGUCCUUGACCGCCACUCAUAAGGAAGGCAAUCAAUAAAUAAAUCACGCUCCGACUUCAUCACAUAACGGUUCACCGUACGUGCAUGCUACGGGAAUCACAAACUUCAACACAAGUAUUUCUCAAAUUCAUAACCACUCAACUAGCAUGACUCUAAUAUCACCAUCUCCAUAUCUCAAAACAAUUAUCAAGUAUCAAACUUCUCAUAGUAUUCAACACACUCAUAAGAGAAUUUUAUUAUUCUUGAAUACCUAGCAUAUUAGGAUUUUAAGCAAAUUACCAUGCUAUUUAAGACUCUCAAAAUUAUAUAAGUGAAGCAUGAGAGUUCAUCUAUUUCUUCAAAAUAAAACUACCACCAUGCUCUAAAAGAUAUAAGUGAAGCACUAGAGCAACAACAAACUACUCCGAAAGGUAUAAGUGAAGAUCAAUGAGUAGUUUAAUAAUUAUGCAACUAUGUGAAGACUCUCUAACAUUUAAUAAUUUCAGAUCUUGGUAUUUUAUUCAAACAGGAAGCAAAGCAAAAUAAAAUGACAUCUAAGAAUAGCAAACAUCAUGUGAAGAAGCAAAAACUUAGGAUCAACCGAUACUAACUGAUAGUUGUUGAAGAAGAAAGGUGGGAUGCCAAACGGGGCAUCCCCAAGCUUAGACGCUUGAGACUUAUCGAAAUAUUAUCUUGGGGUGCCUUGGGCAUCCCCAAACUUGAGCUUUUGUGUCUCCUUAAUUCCUCUCAUAUCACGGUCUCCCUAAAUCUCAAAAGCUUCAUCACACAAAACUCAACAAGGACUCGUGAGAUAAGUUAGUAUAAACCAUUGACAAAACCUUAUCAUACUAUACUGUAGCAAAUCCCUAAAAUUAUUAUUCAACAUUGCAUACUAAAUGCCUCUGCAUAUUUAAUAGUCCUAUCCUUAAAUAGAAUCAUUAAAGAAGCAAACAUAUGCAAACAAUGAAAACAUAACAGCAAUCUGCCUAAACAGGAUAGUCUGUAAAUAAUGCAGCAACAUCCAUACUUCCCUAGCUCCAAAAAUUAUAAAAGAAAAUUCCCACUGUAGUAAAUUUAUUAGAUCUUAAUAUGCAAAAGGUUUCAACAUUUUAUCACAUUCUGACUUUUCUAGGGAAUUAUUGCAACAGCGGUAAACUUUCUGUUUUCAAACAGCAACAUGUAUACUUGUAACAUAGGCAUAGUAAAGACUAUUAAUGCCACUUUUAUUGAAAUUAAAGAUGCAAAACAUUGUUAUAAAUAACAUAAAGAAAAUCCUAACAAAAUAAAUUGACGCUCCAAGCAAAACACAUAUAAUGUGGCGAAUAAAAAUAUAGCUCCAAGUAAAGUUACCGAUGAACGAAGAUGAAAGAGGGGAUGCCUUCCGGGGCAUCCCCAAGCUUAGGCUCUUGGCUAUCCUUGAAUAUUACCUUGGGGUUCCUUGGGAAUCCCCAAUCUUAGGCUCUUGCCACUCCUUAUUCCAUAGUCCAUUGAAUCCUUACCCAAAACUUGAAAACUUCACAACACAAAACUUAACAGAAAACUCGUAAGCUCCGUUAGUAUAAGAAAAUAAAUCACCACUUCAAGGUACUGUAAUUAACUCAUUAUUUAUAUAUAUUGGUGUUAAACCUAUUGUAUUCCAACUUCUCUAUGGUUUAUAAACUAUUUUACUAGCCAUAGAUUCAUCAAAAUAAGCAAACAACACACGAAAAACAGAAUCUGUCAAAAACAGAACAGGCUGUAGGAAUAUGAAUCAAACGUAUACUUCUGGAACUCAUAAAAUUAUCAAAUAAAUUUCUGGACCUGAGAAAUUUAUCUAUUAAUCAUCUUCAAAAAGAAUUAACUCAAUAUCACUGUCCAAUAAAAAUGGCAGCAAUUCUAGUGAGCGCUAAAGUUUCUGUUUUUUACAGCAUGAUCAACAAGACUUUCCCAAAGUCUUCCCAAAGGUUCUACUUGGCACAAACACUAAUUAAAAGCAUAAAACCACAUCUAAACAGAGGCUAGAUGAAUAAUUUAUUACUAAACAGUAUCAAAAAUCAAGGAACUAAAAUAAAAUUGGGUUGCCUCCCAACAAGCGCUAUCGCUUAACGCCCCUAGCUAGGCAUGAUGAUUUCAAUGAUGCUCACAUAAAGGAUAAGAACUGAAACAUAAAGAGAGCAUCAUGAAGAAUAUGACUAGCACAUUUAUGUCUAACCCACUUUCUAUGCAUAGGGAUUUUGUGAGAAAACAACUUAUGGGAACAAUAAUCAACUAGCAUAGGAAGGCAAAACAAGCAUAACUUCAAGAUUUUAAGCACAUAGAGAGGAAAUUUGAUAUUAUUGCAAUUCCUACAAGCAUAUAUUCCUCCCUCAUAAUAAUUUUCAGUUGCAUAAUGAAUGAAUUCAACAAUAUAACCAGCACCUAAAUAAUUCUUUUCAUGAUCUACUUCCAUAGAAAAUUUACUACUCUCCACAUAAGCAAAAUUCUUCUCAUUCGCAAUAGUGGGAGUAUCAUAAUAGACUUGAAUACUAUAAAUUGUUUCCAUGUUAAAGGAGUAAUGUUCAGAGAAAGGGUACUCAUAAUCAUGACAAGUUUUAUAAAUAUAAUCAUCACUACUCUUUAUAGCAUAAGUUUUAUCACAAUAAUCAUCAUAAGUAGCAACUUUAUUCUCAUCAUAAUCGAUUGAAACCUCUUCCAAGAUAGUCGAUACAUCACUAAAUAAAGUCAUGACCUCUCCAAAUCCACUUUCAUAAAUAUUAUAAGAUUCAACAUACUCCAAAAUAGUGGGAUCAUUACUUCCUAAAUUUGAAACUCUUCCAAACCAACUUUCAUCAAUAUAAUCAUCGUAAGUAGAAGGCAUGCUAUCAUCAUAACAACUUUGCAUAUCAAAACUUGAGAGGCUAAAAAUAUCAUCAUUAUUAAACAUAGCAUCCCCAUGCUUGGGACAAACAUUAAUUGUAGGAAAUAUAUUCUCAAAUAUGUCAUCAUUAUUAAACAUAGCUUCCCCAAGCUUGGGUCUUUUCAUAUCAUAAGCACAAUCACUCUCAUCAUUAAUAGUAUAAAUAGCACCAAUAGUAUAGCAUUAUAAUAUUCUUCCAAGCAAGUGCCAAAAAUAUUUUCAAGAUCAUAAGAAGUGUCAUUAUCUUCCCAAUCAUAAUCAUCACAACAAGCAAUAGGCAUAACGAGAUCAUCAUCAAGUGUAUCAUUUUCAUGAGGCACAACAAUAAUAGGAGCAACUUUAUUUGGGAGAGAUACCUUUUUACCUCUCUUCCUUUUUCUUUUCUUCUUAUUCACCACAUCAUGUGUGGGUUCAAUCCUCUUUUGGGGGCUCCUUAUUAACGAGAUUGGUUGAAUAGAGGGCUCCUCUUCGUUACCUGAUUCAUCAUAAGAAAUAAUAGGAGAAUAUUGGGAAGUCUCUUCCCUUUCGUUAGUGUUCUCUUCAUCCUAUAUUUGUUUUCUUUUCUUUAUGUAAUUGGUAAUAUAGGGAUUUUCAAUGCAAUUCACCACACAAUACAUAUAAAUUUCUUCUAGAUCAAUAUCGAGGAAUUUCUCAAGGUUAUAUUCUGGAAUAUGCCUAGUUUGACAUUUCAUUUCUUCAUAACCCAAAAGCAAACUAAGUUCAUUAUAAUGUGCAAGGGAAAUUAAGUCAUCACAAUUUUUGGACACGAUUCGAUCAUGAAACAACUUGCAUUUGAUAUUUAAAUGACCAGGUUCGUUGCAAAGUUCACAAGUACGGCUAAGAUAUCUUAAAUUUUCAGCACUAACUUCUAGCCUUUCUUGCAACCAUUUAGUUUCUAAAUGCUUAUGCCUCUUGCAAUAUCUAUCUCCUCUAUUUGGUGUGUCCUUGCAAACCCAAUGCACUCCACAAAAAUUGACAUGUUUAUAGGAGGCAUUUUCAUCAUAACUAGUGCAAUCAUCAUUGGUGUCAUGGAUAUUCAAAGAAUUCAUACUAACAACAUUGCAAUCAUGCUCAUCAUUCAAAGAUUUAGUGCCAAACAUUUUAUAGAUUUCUUCUUCUAGCACUUGCGCACAAUUAUCCUUUCCAUCAUACUCACGAAAGAUACUAAAAAGGUGAAGCAUAUGAGACACACUCAAUUCCAUUUUUUUAUAAUUUUCUUUUAAAAACUAAACUAGUGAUAAAAACAAGAAACUAAAAGACUCGCUUGCAAGAUCUAAAGAUAUACCUUCAAGCGCUAACCUCCCUGGCAAUGGUGCCAGAAAAGAGCUUGAUGUCUACUACACAACCUUCUUAUUGUAGACGUUGUUGGGCCUCCAAGUGCAGAGGUUUGUAGGACAGUAGCAAAUUUCCCUCAAGUGGAUGACCUAAGGUUUAUCAAUUCGUAGGAGGCGUAGGAUGAAGAUGGUCUCUCUCAAGCAACCCUGCAACCAAAUAACAAAGAGUCUCUUGUGUCCCCAACACACCCAAUACAAUGGUAAAUUGUAUAGGUGCACUAGUUCGGCAAAGAGAUGGUGAUACAAGGGGUAUAUGGAUAGUAGAUAAAGGUAUUUGUAAUCUGAAAUUAUAAAAAUGGCAAGGUAGCAAGUGAUAAAAGUGAGUGUAAAUGGUAUUGCAAUGUGUCGAAACAUGGCCUAGGGUUCAUACUUUCGCUAGUGUAAGUUCCCUCAACAAUACUAACAUAAUUGGAUCACAUAACUAUCCCUCAACAUGCAACAAAGAGUCACUCCAAAGUCACUAAUAGCGGAGAACGAAUGAAGAGAUUAUGGUAGGGUACGAAACCACCUCAAAGUUAUUCUUUCCAAUCAAUCCGUUGGGCUAUUCCUGUAAGUGUCACAAACAGCCCUAGAGUUCGUACUAGAAUAACACCUUAAGACACAAAUCAACCAAAACCCUAAUGUCACCUAGAUACUCCAAUGUCACCUCAAGUAUUCGUGGGUAUGAUUAUACGAUAUGCAUCACACAAUCUCAGAUUCAUCUAUUCAACCAACACAAAGGACCUCAAAGAGUGCCCCAAAGUUCUACCGGAGAAUCACAACGAAAACGUGUGCCAACCCCUAUGCAUAGGUUCAUGGGCGGAACCCGCAAGUUGAUCACCAAAACAUACAUCAAGUGAAUCACGUGGUAUCCCAUUGUCACCACAGAUACGCACGUCAAGACAUACAUCAAGUGUUCUCAAAUCUUUAAAGACUGAAUCCGAUAAGAUAACUCCAAAGGGGAAACUCAAUUCAUUACAAGAGAGUAGAGGGGGAGGAGAAACAUAAAAUCCAACUAUAAUAGCAAAGCUCGCGGUACAUAAGGAUCGUAUCACCUCAAGAACACGAGAGAGAGAGAGAUCAAACACAUAGCUACUGGUACAUACCCUCAGCCCCGAGGGAGAACUACUCCCUCCUCGUCAUGGAGAGCACCGGGAUGAUGAAGAUGGCUACCGGAGAGGGAUUGCCCCCUCCGGCAGGGUGCCGGAACGGGUCUAGAUUGGUUUUCAGUGGCUACAGAGGCUUUUGGCGGCGGAACUCCCAAUCUAUUGUGCUCACGGAUGUUUUUAGGGUAUAUGGAGAUAUAUAGGCGGAAGAAGUACGUCAGGGGGGCCACGAGGGGCUCACAAGGGUGGAGGGUGCGCCCAGGGGGGUGGGCGCACCCCCCUGCCUCGUGACCUCCUCGUAGGUUCCCCGACGUGCACUCCAAGUCUUCUAGGCUUCUUUCCUUCCAAAAUGAGUUCCGUGAAGUUUCAGGUCAAUUGGACUCCGUUUGAUUUUCCUUUUCUUUGAAACCCUAAAACAGGGUAAAAACAAAAACUGGCACUGGGCUCAGAGUUAAUAGGUUAGUCCCAAAAAUUAUAUAAAAGUGUAUAAUAAAUCCCAUAAACAUUCAAAACAGUAGAUAAUAUAGCAUGGAGCAAUCAAGAAUUAUAGAUACGUUGGAGACGUAUCAGGUCGCCUCCACAUGUCGCGCCGUUCUUCUUCUUUUUGCCGGGGAAACCGAUGUUUUGGAGGAGGGUGCGGGCUUGGACGUACCCGUGGCCAAAUUUUUGACUGUGUUGCCGUGGCUGUAUGUCGGCGGAGGGGAAGCAGAUCCGAGGCGGCGAAGGACGGUUGAAAGCACAAGUGCUCCCUGGGUGGUUUUGGUAAUUAAUGUCAACAUAUCUCUUGUUGGACUAACACUUUUACCUAGUAUGUUUCAGAUAAGUUCAACAAUGGAAUGGCAUGGACUAGAGGAUGUGGAACCCCUUCAAGAUGCUAAGGACAAAGGAUUGGCUCAAGCUUCAAGCUCAAGACUCUACAUUUUAUAUUGUAGUGAUCCAAGAUCACAUUGAGUCUAUAGGAAAAGCCAAUACUAUCAAGGAGGGAUGAGGUGUUGCUUAAUGGCGUGCUUGCUCAAAGUGCUUAGUGAUAUGCUCCAAAAUCCUCAACUACUCUCCCACAUCCACAUAUGACCUAAACCAAAAGUCAAACUCGGCCCCACCGAUUCUUUCUAUCCGGCGCCACCAAGUUUCAAAUGUCAUAACCACUGCCACAAACCCUAGGCAAAUCGGUCUCACCGAUAGGGAUCUCGGUCUCACCGAGAUGGGAUUGUAAUCUCGCUGUUUCCCUUCGUAACGUUUUGGUCUUACCGAGAUGAGCGAUCGGUCCCACCGAGAUUGCAAUGUAAACUCUCUGUUUCCCUUUUGUAACAUUUCAGUCUCACCGAGAUGAGCGAAUCGGUCCCACCGAGUUUACCUGACCAACUCUCUGGUUAGCUUAUUACCAAAAUCGCUCCCACCGAGUUUGUGUAAUCGGUCACACCGAGAUUACAUUCUGC